rnacentral:lncRNA from 1 species
UGAGGCCUUGGUUGGCUUUGGUGGGUCCUGAUGAAUCGUUGUCUGCAGAGGCUGUGGGUAUCUGAAGGGUGUAGUCAUGUGACCCUUUCGAGACUGUUUUGUUUUGUGUUUGACUUAGCUGGAACUUAGCCUUAGGAGCUGUUGAAUGCGUUAUCGAGUACGUACUGUCGUAUUUUCGACUUAAAGGAGACCUCUAUAUAUCAUAAUCUGGCGAUAUCUAUGACAACAAUUUAACUUGCUGAUGACUCUGGUCGUUGUUGCAGCAAUAUGGUGCGCUUUUCUGAUCUUUGUUUGCUUCCCUUGCUGGCCUCUGGCUGAGCCUGAGUGAUGACGGUGAAUAUUCCAUAGCUGUCUCGUGGGGCUGUUCAUCCAGCACUGAUCUCGCAUAGUUGCUACAGCCGCCACCGCCUCCCAACCCUAGCCGCCACAGUUGCUACCUCGACCUGUGUUGUUUUAUUAUUCUUCAGCGGCAUCGAUGAGGUGGUGGUGGUGGUGUCGAUGGCGUGUUGGAAUAAGGUCCUUCCUUGGCUUACAAUGUCAGAUCGGGUGCCGACGAAGGGUUUGUGUCCACAUUGGUUCCCUUCAGAUUUUGGGCGUUCGUGUGUUUUUUAAGAAGAGUUUUUGACUGUUUAUUGGUAUGGCGACUUUGACAUGUUCGAGUGUUUUUUAAGAAGAGUUUUUGAUUGUUUAUUGGUGUGGCGACUUUGACGUGUAGUGACUUCGACAUCUUCUGUGUUGGUCUGUGGCCUCCUGUCGAAUGGUCGCAAGUAAUGCGGGUCCUAAAUUGAUGAGGGGUUGAUCGAACGAAUUUGGUCCCUAGGGCGAGCUGCUCCCAACGAACGAAUCGACCCACCUCGUUUGUUUGUCAGGGGAAGGGCGUGAGGCCCUUGUGUGUACCCUUGGCCUAUGUUUGAUUUUUUUGAGUCCGAUAAAAUUUAUUUUGUGCAAAGUCCAAAAACAAUAGAGAACAACAACUGAUACCGAGCAAUGAGUUAAUAGGCUAUUUCAUAAAAAUAAUAUAAACUGAUUUAAAUAGGUGCCAAAAGUAUACCAAUUUAACAAAACAAAAAUAUGGCAUGGAACAAACAAAAGUUAUAGAUACGUUUGAGUUGUAUCAUCAUGGUCAUGCUGUUUUCCAUGUCGGCAAUGAUGAUAUUAUGGUAGAUGUUAUAUUAGCUUGUGAAUCAGAGCAUGUGCAGUCUGCUAGUUUGCAAGUAUGAUUGAUAUGUAGGUGUGGUAGUGUGUUAAAGUUCAUGGUAUGCUUUGAGCUUCAAGAUCCAUGGUGUUGUGUUAAACUUCAUGAUCCAUGUGUAAUAUGCUAACUGUGUAGUGUGUUAUAGUAUUGAUGGUAACUGAUACGUCUCCAACGUAUCUAUUUGUUUUAUGCUAUUAUAUUAUUAAUUUUGGAUGCUUUAUAUGCUAUUUUAUAUUAUUUUUUGGGACUAACCUAUUAAUCCAGUGUCCAGUGUCAGUUCCUAUUUUUUUUGCUUGUUUUUGGCUUUUAAGAAAUCAGUACCAAACGAAGUCCAAACACGAUGAAAUUUUACGGUGAUUUUUUCUGGACCAAAACGGACCCUAGAAGGUUCAGGAGGAGACCGGAAGACCUACGGGGAGCCAUGAGCUCAUAGGACGCGCCCUACGGGGUAGGCGCCCCCUGAGCUUGUGGGUCCCACGCAGCUCCGUUUGACCGAAUUUUGCCUCUAUAAAUUCACAAAUAUUUCCAAACCAACAGAGAGCCACCCAAAACACUUUUUCCACCGCCGCAAGCUUUUGUUCUUCUGCGAUCCCAUCUAGAGGCCUUUUUCGAUACUCUAUUGGAGGGGGAAUCGGUCACGGAGAGCUUCUACAUCAUCGUUGCUGCCUUCCGAUGAUGUGUGAGUAGUUCACCACAGACCUACGGGUCCAUAGCUAAGUAGCUAGAUGGCUUCUUUUCUCUCUUUGAUCUUCAAUACAGUGUUCUCCUCGAUCUUCUUAGAGUUCUAUCCGAUGUAAUCUUCUUUGGCGGUGUGUUUGUUGGGAUCCGAUGAAUUAUGGGUUUAUGAUCAGAUUAUUCAUUGAAAGUAAUUGAGCCUUCUGAACUUUAUUAUGCAUGAUUGUUAUAACUUUGUAUUUCUCUCCGAUCUAGCCGUUUGGUUUGGCCAACUAGAUUGAUUUAUCUUCAGUAGGAGAGGUGCUUUGUAAUGGGUUCAAUCUUGCGGUGUCCUCACCCAGUAACAGAAGGGGUAGCGAGGCACAUAUUGUAUUGAUGCUCUUAAGGGUAAAACGACUGGGUUUAAUUAUAUUGCUUGAGUUUACUUUGUCUAGAUCAUGUCAUCUUACUUAAGGCGUUACUCUAUUUGUCAUGAACUUAAUACCAUAGAUGCAUGCUGGAUAGCGGUCGAUUGGUGGAGUAAUAGUAGUAGAUGAAGGAGGAGUCGGUCUACUUGUCACGGACGUGAUGCCUAUAUACAUGAUCAUUGCCAUGAAUAUGUCAUAACUAUGUGCAUUCCUAUCAAUUGCCCAACAGUAAUUUGUUUACCCAGUGUAUGCUAUUGUUUCAGAGAGAUAAACCUCUAGUGAAAACUAUGGCCUCCGGGUCUACUUUAAUCAUAUUAUAAAAACCAAAAAUACCCUUCUGCAAUUUAAUUACUUUUAUUUUGUUUUGCAAUUUGUCUAUCUACCUAUACAAGAUUUGAUCCUUGCAAGUAACGAGUUCAAGGGGAUUGACAACCCUCUUGCCCGUGUUGGUGCAAGUAUUUGCUUUUGUGUGUGCAGGUGUUGUUCACUAGGAUUUGCGUGGUUCUCCUUUUGGUUCGAUAAACCUUGGUUCUCACUAUGGGAAAUACUUAUCUCUACUGUACUGCUUCACCCUUCCUCUUCGGGAAAAAUCCCAACGCAGCUCACAAGUAGAACUAACCAUUGUAGGACAUGAGCAUGCAAGAAUUUUGUCAGGCCAUUGUGUUGUCUGAGAGCCAACUCUCAUCGUCCUAUGUUGAGGACUCCCAGCCUCCGAUGGACGAGUACAUGCGUCUGUCACAUGUCCUCGAGCCAAUACCUGCUAGGCAUCCUACAUCUGUGCUAGUGGUGCAUAAUACUUACUAGUGCUGCACAUAAGGCAUCCAUCAAGGUUGGAAAGGCAAAGAUGACUAGGAGGGAGAACUCAAUGGAAUGGCAACCAUUCCUGUCCACCCUACAAGAUGUGUCAGCUCAUACCCAGUGGGGUGAAGACUGACAUGGGCUUCAAGGAGGUGCACUUGAACUCUGUUGCCAAGAAGUUGUUCGAGUUAUACGUCCAAGAGGUUACCUCGACCCUGGUCUACAACGACCUUAGGAAGUGGAGAGCCAAAUGGAUCCAAGUGACCAAGUUCAGAUACCUUAGCGACGCAUAAUAGGACCAGGAGACCUACACGAUCCUGUCGGAGUUAGAGCACUGCCGAGUCCACACCGCGGUUAGCUCACAUACCACUUGUUUAAGCUUGUCUAACAUGCCAAUCACAACUAAUCAUGCUGUGUUUAUUUCUUAGGACCACCCCAAGGACACAUGUUCCUCAACAUUUCCAUCCAGAACUACUUGCAGAUGCAACAAAUCUUCUCAUAUGAGCUAGAUACUGGCAAGCAUGCCAUGAGCUCGAGUGUCUUGGUUUACCUAUUCCUGAGCAUCUAGACACCCAUGAGUCAAAGACCAUCGUCCUUGAUAAUCCAGAGAAGGCUGCUAAUCAUGUUCAUGUGCUUGAUAUGAAGAGGAAGAGGGGGACUUGAUGGACGUGGAGUUGAGCGCCUUUAGCAACAUGAUUGACACCAUCAAGGAGGUGCAACCACCAUUAGGGAGAGCAAGUCGGUCGAUGUCUACCCUUCCCUAUACAACACUGCCAUGAAACAAGGUGGCUUCAGUCAAGAGGCUCUGAUGGUGGCUCUUAGCAACAUGCUGGACAAUAUGGCACAUGGUCUUGGCCUCUUGGGUUCGUUGGAUGGGGGACACCCAUAGGGUGCUCUGGCUUAGGACCUGGUUGGGCAAGCAAUACUACUAGUGCUGUUUCUGGUGGUGGUGACAACAUGCAUGAUGAUCGAUGAUGACGAUGGCGAUGACGAUGCCAAUUUUGUGGUAGCUAGGGCUUGAGAAUUGUCGUUGGCCUGUAUAUUUUGAUGAGGUGGUUUAAACUAACCCCUCAUGCCGAUGGUGAACUUGUGGCGGCACGAUUACACCCUCUUUUGGACGACGACACCAUAGUAGUUAGGAUGAACUAGUUCUGCCUUUUGGGCACAAGAUCAUGCAAUCCUAUGUUGAUCUAUUCCAUAUGUUGUGUCCCUUUGCCAGCCGCUUGAACUGUUGCUCUUCUAUCAUGCUAGGUGAAGUGGUAUGUAGUGCACAUAGGGAGGGUUCUAGGAGUUUGUAGGUCAUUGCAUACAUGCCAUGAACAAGUGACACAUUACAUAGAUAGCUGCUUCGAAGGGUUUAAGACUAGGCAAGAGGCAGAGGAUGCUUCUCCAAGUUUUUGAUCAACCAAAAGAGCAAUGUUGGAGUAGGCAAGGCUCCUGAUCAGUUUAGGUUGUGUGGGAUGAAAAUUUUCAUCAUCGUUGUCUAGUUCGUCAUGAUUGUAGUGUUGUUUUCUUGGUGUGAUCAUAUGUGAGGUGCAAUGAGCACUUGUUAGGGUGGUACAUGGUAAGCUCAUCACACAUGAUACAAGAUAAGUAGAUCCCACCUAAUGUAUGCAACCAAACAACAUGCACUGCAUCAGUACAGGGAACCUAAUGUUGGGGGUGGGGAGAGGAGGGAUUGGUACUAUCAUGCAGACACGCCUUAUGCAGGCUACUAAACCAUGUGCACACCAUGGUUUUUAGCUUGCAUUUUCUCAGCCUAUCCAAUGUGAGCCACAUAUGCAAGGAUGCAAAAAAUGAUGCAGGCUACCAAACAGGCACUAAGUGCAGCUGAAAACUUACAGUUUAGAAAAUCUUGAAACAUGAAAGAUACAUUUAAAAAGUGUAGCUGGGAAAUUACAUCGAGAAUAAUGUAGUUGAAACCCACAAUGCAAUUGAAUUACAAUUGAAAUACACGACGCAACUAAAGAGUUCAGUUAAACAUGUGAAUGCAGUUUCAACAUGUGAAACACAACUAAAACAUGCGACACAACUGGAAAUGGAACUAAACCACCUACAACGUCGUUAAAUGCCUGAAAAAAAGCAGCUAGAGCAACUGCAUUGCAAUCCACUUUACGAAAAAAUACAGUUAAGCCAACCAUGUCAAAGUUUUUAGCAGAUUUUAUGGAGUAACAUUACCAAUUACCAAUUGACAUAUUAACCCAACCAUGCCAAAUUGUUUACGAGUGGUAAUUUUUAUGGAGUAAACAUUACCAAUUUACAUUUGGCAAACUAAACCAACUACGUGAUGGUGUCUCGAAUUAGGGGGUGCUAUGUUGGAUAUAUGCCCUAGAGGCAAUGAUAUUGUAUUAUUAUAUUUCCAUAUUUAUAAUUAAGAGUUUAUAUUCCAUGCUAUAACUUCCAUGAUCCUGGAAUAUGCGAUUCAGUGGAAAACUCAUAUGCAUGUGUGGAAUGAUAACUGGUAAAAUAUGAUUCCUAGUCUCACCUCUAAGACUAGCGCAAAUGUUGUUGGUGAUCAUGUUUUUUGGAUCUUAGGAUAUCGUUAAGUGUAACAAUAGUCCUAAAACAACUUUGAGAAUAUGACAUUACAAGAACGAUCGUAUUGAAUCGACCCAAACUUGUUUGUUAUACUUUGAGAUAAUAUUGUCAGAAGUCAAUUGUUAUAACAUAGAGUGUUAACGUGUAAUUCAAUUCCUUAGACCAUGUGAGUACUGUGGUCACUUCUUACCGUACGAUGAACUUCGGAUUUUCUCAAACGUCACCAAUAUCACGGUGAUCAUAACGACAACUUACAUGUUCGUCGGAAAGUUUGACAAGGACUAGAUAGCUCAGGAGUGGGAUUUGCUCCUCCUAUGAUGGAGAGAUAUUUUAGGUUCCUCUUGGUGUGAAGGCAUCCGUCAUCGUCUGGCCAGACAUAGGUGACUAUGUCACGGGGAUGCCGGAACAUGUGAACGAGGAAGAAGAACAAAACCGAUAACGAGGUGACCGGUAUAGUGAGCAUGUGUAUGACUCAAGAGGAUACUGAUAUAUCUCACCUCGAGUUUUGUAAAGUAUCUCUAAGAAAAGAGAAUAACACAUGGUAACCAAAGGUUCACUUGAAUGUCAUUUGUGUACUCAUAUGGAUCGAUAUGGAUGUCCACGAUUCCGCUAUCGGUCAUUGAACAAAACGGGUUUUGUUCAUGUCUAUGUUUUACCGAACCUACAGGGUCACAAGCUUAAGGUAAUCAAAAUCUACUAAGUGUUAGUAGGACAGGAGUAAUGAGAAAAAAUAUUUAUGAAAUAGUUUCAUUAAUAUUCGAAAUAGUUUCAAGAGGAACCGAAAGGGUUUUUGGGUCACCGGAAGGGUUUCAGGGUUUACCGGGUAAUACCGAUAAAUUGUAUAUAGGUGGAAAUAGUUUCCAGUGAUGUUAAAUUAAUAUUAAAAGGCUCUAAAUAUGAUUAAGAGGAUAUUAUAUUUAUUUAAAUAUUAACGGUCCUAAAAAGGCCAAGUGGUGGAAAGUUACUUGGGCCACAUGGGCCCAAUAGGAGGUGGCGCCCCCUUCCCACUUGGGGAAGGAAGGGGGAGGCCGAAUUGGAGGGGGAACUCCCCUCCUCUUGGCUGGGUAAAGGGGGGAGACCUUCCCCUUGUGUGGCGCCCCCUCCCCCUCCAAACUAUUUAUACUAGAGGUUUUGGCUCUUUUGAAUACACAAGUUUUGAAGCCUCCUCUAGUUCUAGUUGAUCCAAUUAGAGCUAGAUCUAGUUCCUCCAAUCCUCAUAAUUAGAAGCCCAAUGUGGUUCUAAUAUCCUCCCUCUAAUUCUUCAGCAACGAUUAGCUCUGGAUGGUGAAGCGCUACCGGAUCACGAAGACCGUAUGCUUGCAAUAUGUAGAGAGACCGUGCUUUUGGUCUUCUGUUUGAGGGAUCGUUCAUUGAUGGUUUGAGGGAAUUCAAGUACGAUCGGAGUUGGUAAUGAUCCGAUCCAAGCUGUUAUUGCAUCUUCAUUGUAUUCCUGGCUGAUCGCAAGGCAUAUUUUUUUGUUCUCUACUGCGUCUCCCAACAGUGGCAUCACGAGCGGUUCUAUGAGUAGAUGCAGAUCGACUCUGGUUGUGAGGGUUUAUGUUCUUGCUAUUAUUUCCUCAAGUGGUGCUUUGACUCAGUUCAUUGAUGGCAUGGUGUAGCUUUGUAUAGAGUUCUAACAAUCAAUCGGCUCUGGUUGUUAGUGAUCUGCUAACAGAUCUUUGGGCUUCAUCAUAGUCAAGAAUAGUGAACUAUCGCAAACAUGAGUGGGCAAUGAAGAUGUUCGAUCUUCUAGAGAGUCACGCGUAUUGACGAAGUUUAGUGUGGGGCUAGGGAUUUUUAAUUAAGUCUCUUCCCUCACACACCCCAAAAGUUAAUCUAGCAACAAGAAUUAUCGCCUUGAUGGUGGAUGUAGGUAGCUAGAGUUAUCCGGAAACCCUAGAAACGACAUAAUUAAAAUUUGCCAAGAUGAUUAGAGGACGUCUAACUUGGUUUUGCAAGAUGCAUGUGAUGUAGUAUAGCAUUCGUCAUGAUAAUGAGUUUAUGUAUGAGAUGAUUAUAUGUUGUAAUGUUAAGUGGCCUGCAUGUCACAGUACACCAUGAUGGUUGGAGCAAAGGGAUUGUCAUUUUUAAUGACCCGCGUGUCAACCUCGUUAUUUGUUCAGCAGAAGUAACACGGAGGAUCGCGGAGCUUCACCAGGCGCAGGAGAACAAAAGUUUUGCCAUGGCGGUAGUUUCCAAAAUUAUCGCCACGACAACAUUUCAAAAGAAUUUUCAUGAAGACCGCGGAGGUUCAUGGAGACAUUCCCGACACCCAGGACAAUACAAUAUCACACUAUUAUGAAUUUCCUGAGAUGUUUAUCCCUUUGUUGUUUGUAUCCUUUGAUUGCGCACUGUGACGCCCCGACUUAAUCGUGCACUAAUCAUACAUGCAAAUGCGCACAACCAAGAUCAGAUACUCACGGGAAGAUAUCACAACACAACUUUGGACACAAAUUAAAGUCAUACAAGCUUCAUAUUACAAGCCAGGGGCCUCGAGGGAUUGAAUACAUAAGCUUGAAUACCAAUGAGUCAGCGAAAGCAACAAUAUGUGAGUACACACAUAAGGUAAACAAGUCUGCCUUAAGAAGGCUAGCACAAAUGAUAACAAUUAUCCAAAAGGCAAGGCCUCCUGCCUGGGAGCCUCGUAACUACUCCUGGUCAUUGGCGGUCUCCACGUAGUAGUAGGCACCUUCAGGGUAGUAGUAUUGGUCGGUGGUGGCAUCUAGCUCCUGGGAUCCGUCGUCUAAUCGCAGCAAUCAGGUAUAGUUGAAAAGAAGCAACAAAGCAACCGUGAGUACUCAUCCAAAGUACUCGCAAGACUUACAUCAGAACUAUGCUAAGUAUGCAUUGGUAUCAAAGAAAUGGGGCUAUAUCUUUUGACUAAACUGCAGAAAGGCCAGAAGAGAAGGAAAACCUAGCCUAUCGAAGACUAGCAUCUUGCAACAUUAUAAGAGUGUAGAUUAGCAUAAUAUAAGUAGCAAGUAUAUUGUAGUAACGCCCAGAGACCCUAAUACAAGCACAUGUGGUUCCCUUCCAACCGGGCGUGCGUCGCUCAAUCGCUAAUGUUUGAAGAGCUUUUGGAGAAUCGUACGCCGCGGAGUGCCCGUACUUAUUCCCGCGUGGUGGUCAGUGCGAAAAGGCCAGAGGCCUACUCGGAUCACAUAAUCAAACCGUUAGUGUCCUGGGAGCGUGCGGUAACGAUCAAUGAUCCACGAUACGUGGUCCUGUCACCCCGUCUCACAGACUUACAGCAAGGGCUAAGAAUGCUCGGCCGUGCCGCGUAGUUAUCUCGCGGGUACCCUCCAGGUCAACCCGACUUCACAUCACUCGCGGGUACCCCUCAGGGCCGACCCGAUUUUAUCAUGAUUGUGGGGUAAAGUCAAAGUAACAGUGUGUCCAUAACACCAAGGGGGAAUCCGAGGAAUCACCCUCGAUGGAUUCCACUUGAUGUAAUCAUCAAGGUGAACUUGGAGGAAUCACCCUCGGGGGUUCACUCUUGAUGUGUUGCACGACAGAGUCCUUAUCGGGAGUGCUGAAAGAGGAAUCACCCUCCGUAGACCACAGCCGAUUAAGUACACUACUGAGAUCUCAUCAGAAGUGCUAUACGAGGUAUCACCCUCGUCAUUCGAUAGUAACCCUGAAGUGUCGUACAACUAAGGGGGUGUGAUGUGAGGUGUCAGUCUCUGGAUGUCGAUCACGUUAAUCGAGUCAUCGAUGAUAAAGCGGGGGCAACAUGGGACAAGGUGAGGGGUCACUGGUGGAUCACUAACCAACCUAUACUAAGCAUUUAGGAUAAGCAGGUAAGGUACAAAAGCAGGUUACAAAAGUAGGCUAUUGAUACAUCCAUUUUGCAUCAUGUUUUCUUACUGUUAUUUAUAAUGUUUUCAUCCAUAAUAAUGCUUUUUGGAGUAAUUAUAAUGCCUUUUCUCUCAUAAUAUGCAAGGUAUACACAAAGAGGGAGAAUUCCGGCAGCUGGAAAUCUGCACGUGGAAAAGCUACGUCAGGCCACCUAUUCUGCACAACUCCAAACAAGCUGAAACUUCACGGAGAUUUUUUAUGGAAUAUUUGAAGAAUAUUGGAGCAAAUAACUACCAGAGGGGCCCCACUAGGUGGGCACAACCCACCUGGGUGCACCGGGGAGCCCAGGCGUUCCCUGGUGGGUUGUGCUCACCCAGGCCCACCUCCGGUGCCCAUCUUAUGGUAUAUAGGCCAUUUUGACCUAGAAAAAAAUAAGGGAUGACUUUCGGGACGGAGUGCCACCUUCUCGAGGCGGAACUUGGGCAGGAGCACUUUUGCCCUUCGGUGGAGCGAUUCCGCCGGGGGAACUUCCCUCCCGGAGGGGGAAAUCAUCGUCCUCAUCAUCACCAACAACUCUCUCAUCUUGGGGAGGGCAAUCUUCAUCAACAUCUUCAACAACACCAUCUCAUCUCAAACCCUGGUUCAUCUCUUGUGUUCAAUCUUGUUACCGGAACUAUAGAUUGGUGCUUGUGGGUGACUAGUAGUGUUGAUUACAUCUUGUAGUUGAUUAAUACAUGGUUUAUUUGGUGGAAGAUUAUAUGUUCAGAUCCAUUAUGCUAUUUAAUAUCCCUCUAAUCUUGAGCAUGACUAUCAUUUGUUAGUAGUUACUUUUGUUCUUGAGGUCACGGUAGAAAUCAUGUUGCAAGUAAUCAUGUAAACUUGAUAUGUGUUCGAUAUUUCGAUAGUAUGUAUGUUGUGAUUCCCUUAGUGGUGUCAUGUGAAUGUCGACUACAUGACACUUAACCAUAUUUGGGCCUAAGGUAAUGCAUUGUGGAGUAGCAAUUAGAUGAUGGGUUGCGAGAGUGACAAAAGCUUAAACCCCAGUUUAUGCGCUAUUCCAUAAGAGACCGAUUGGAUCCAAAAGUUUAAUGCUAUGGUUAGAAUUUAUUCUUAAUACUUUUCUCGUAGUUGCGGAUGCUUGCGGGAGGGUUAAUCAUAAGUAGGAGGUUUGUUCAAGUAAGAACAGCACCUAAACACCGGUCCACCCACACAUCAAAUUAUCAAAGUACCGAACACGAAUUAAACCAACAUGAUGAAAGUGACUAGAUGAAAUUCCCGUGUACCCUCAAGAAUGCCGUGCUUAUCAUAAGAGAAUGUUUCAGCCUGUCCUUUGCCUCAAAAGGAUUGGGCUAACUUGCUGCACUUUUUUUACUACUAUCGUUACUUGCUCGUUACAAGUUACCUUGCUAUCAAACUACUCUACUACUUACAAUUUCAGCACUUGCAGACAUUACCGUGCUGAAAACCACUUACAUUUCCUUCUGCUCCUCGUUGGGUUCAACGCUCUUACUUAUCGAAAAGAGCUACAAUUGAUACCCUAUACUUGUGGGUCAUCAAGGCUAUUUUCUGGCGCCGUUUCCGGGGAGUGAAGCGCCUUUGGUAAGUGGAAUUUGGUAAGGUAACAUUUAUAUAGUGUGCUGAAAUUUAUUGUCACUUGUUACUAUGGAAAACAAUCCUUUGUGGGGUUUGUUCGGGGUAUAUUCACCUCUACUGGAACCACAAUUAUCUACCCCUCAACCUACUGCACCUACUGAAAAUAUUGAAUAUGAAAUUCCUUUGGGUACGAUAGAACAACUGCUAGCUAAUCCUUAUGCAGGAGAUGGAACCUAACAUCCUGAUAUGCACUUGAUAUAUGUAGAACAAAUUUGUGGAUUGUUCAAGCUUGCAGGUCUACCCGGGGAUGAAGUUAUGAAGAAGGUUUUCCCUUUAUCUUUGAAGGUAAAAGCAUUGGCAUGGUAUAGGCUAUGCGAUGAUAUUGGAUCUUGGAAUUGGAAUCGUUUGAAAUUGGAGUUCCACCAAAAAAUUUAUCCAAUGCAUCUAGUUCAUCGUGAUCGGAAUUAUAUAUAUAUAUAUAUAUAUAUAUAUAUAGUUCAUCGUGAUCGGAAUUAUAUAUAUAUUGGCCUCGUGAAGGAGAAAGUAUCGCUCUAGCUCGGGGGAGGCUUAAGUCAAUGUUAUAUUCAUGCCCCAAUCAUGAGCUCUCAAGAGAAAUUAUUAUCCAAAACUUUUAUGCUCGACUUUCUCGUGAUGAUCAAUCCAUGCUUGAUACUUCUUGUACUGGUUCUUUUAUGAAGAAGACUAUUGAAUUCCGGUGGGAUCUUUUGGAAAGAAUUAAAUGCAACUCUGAAGAUUGGGAACUCGACGAAGGUAAAGAGUCAGGUAUUAAACUUAAGUAUGAUUGUGUUAAAUCUUUUAUGAAUACCGAUGCUUUUCAAAAGUUUAGCACUAAAUAUGGACUUGACUCUGAGAUAGUAGCCUCCUUCUGUGAAUCAUUUGCUACUCAAGUUGAUUUCCCUAAAGAGAAGUUGUUUAAAUAUCACCCACCUAUUAAAGAAGAAAUUAAAGAAACGGUACCAGUUAAAGAAGAAACUAUACUUUACAAUGUUGAUCCAGUUGUUCCUUCUGCUUAUAUUGAGAAACCACCUUUCCCUGUUAGGAUAAAAGGACAUGCUAAAGUUUCAACUGUGGUCAACAAGAGUUACAUUAGAACACCUAAACCUGAUGAACAAAUUAAAGUAGAGCCUAGUAUUGCUAUGGUUAAGGAUCUCUUGGAAGAAAAUGUAGAUGGGCAUGUUAUUUACUUCUAUGAAGAAGCUGCUAGAAUUGCCAAACCUGAUAAAAAGGAUAAACAUAGACCUGUUGUUGGCAUGCCCGUCAUCUCAGUUAAAAUAGGAGAUCACUGUUAUCAUGGUUUAUGUGACAUAGGUGCUAGUGUGAGUGCUAUUCCUUACACCUUAUAUCAAGAAAUUAUGAAUGACAUAACACCCGCAAAGAUAGAAGACAUAGAUGUUACUAUUAAACUUGCUAAUAGAGGCACUAUAUCACCAAUUGGGAUUGUUAGAGAUGUUGAAGUCUUGUGUGGGAAAACAAAAUACCCUACUGAUUUUCUUGUUCUUGGUUCCCCACAAGAUGACUUUUGUCCCAUUAUCUUUGGUAGACCUUUCUUGAACACCGUUAAUGCUAGAAUAGACUGUGAGAAACAAACUGAUGGUGUUAGUUUUGGUGAUGAGUCUCAUGAGUUUAAUUUUUCCAAGUUUAGUAGAAAGCUUCAAAAAAAAAAGAAUUGCCUAGUGAGGAUGAAAUAAUUGGUCUUGCUUCUAUUGCUGUACCACCUACUGAUCCUUUAGAACAACAUUUACUAGACCAUGAAAAUGAUUUACAUAUGCAUGAAAGAAAUGAAGUAGAUAAGAUUUUCUUUGAACAACGUCCUCUGCUUAAACACAAUUUGCCUAUUGAAACUCUAGGAGGUCCUCCUCCACCUAAAGGUGAUCCUGUGUUUGAACUAAAACAAUUGCCAGACACUUUGAAAUAUGCUUAUCUUGAUGAAAAGAAGAUAUAUCCUGUUAUUGUUAGUGCUAACCUUUCAGAACAUGAAGAAGGAAGAUUGUUGAAAGUUCUAAGGAAGCACCGAGCUGCUAUUGGAUAUACUCUUGAUGAUUUAAAGGGCAUUACUCCCACUCUAUGUCAGCACAAAAUUAAUAUGGAACCUGAUGCUAAACCCGUUGUUGAUCACCAAUGUCGGUUAAAUCCAAAAAUGAAGGAAGUGGUAAGAACAGAAAUAUUAAAACUUCUGGAAGCAGGUAUAAUCUAUCCUAUAGCUGAUAGUAGAUGGGUAAGUCCUGUUCAUUGUGUCCCUAAGAAAGGAGGUAUAACCGUUGUUCCUAAUGAUAAGAUUGAACUUAUUCCACAAAGAAUUGUUACAGGCUAUAGAAUGGUAAUUGAUUUUAGAAAAUUAAACAAAGCAACUAGAAAAGAUCAUUACCCUCUGCCUUUUAUUGAUCAAAUGCUUGAAAGAUUAUCUAAGCACACACAUUUUUGCUUCCUUGAUGGAUAUUCUGGUUUUUCACAAAUACCUGUUUCUCAACCUGAUCAAGAAAAGACCACUUUUACUUGUCCCUUUGGAACUUAUGCUUAUAGACAUAUGCCUUUCGGUUUAUGUAAUGCACCUGCUACCUUUCAAAGAUGUAUGACUGCUAUAUUCUCUGACUUUUGUGAAAAGAUUGUUGAGGUUUUCAUGGAUGACUUCUCUGUUUAGGGAAGUCUUUUGAUGAUUGUUUAAGCAAUCUUGAUCGAGUUUUGCAGAGAUGUGAACAAACAAAUCUUGUCUUGAAUUGGGAGAAGUGCCACUUUAUGGUUAAUGAAGGCAUUGUCUUGGGUCAUAAAAUUUCUGAAAGAGGUAUUGAAGUGGACAAAGCUAAGGUUAAUGCAAUUGAGAAAAUGCCAUGCCCUAAAGAUAUAAAAGCUAUUCGUAGUUUCUUAGGUCAUGCUGGUUUCUAUAGGAGAUUUAUCAAAGACUUCUCUAAAAUUUCUAGGCCUCUGACGAAUCUUUUGCAAAAGGAUAUUCCUUUUGUUUUUGAUGAUGAUUGUUUAGAAGCCUUUGAAACACUCAAGAAAGCCUUAAUUUCUGCACCUAUUGUUCAACCACCUGAUUGGAACUUGCCUUUUGAAAUUAUGUGUGAUGCUAGUGAUUAUGCUGUUGGUGCUAUUCUAGGACAAAGAGUUGAUAAGAAACUGAAUGUUACUCAUUAUGCUAGUAAAACCCUAGACAGUGCUCAAUGAAACUAUGCUACUACUGAAAAAUAAUUCUUAGCAAUGGUGUUUGCUUGUGAUAAAUUUAGACCUUAUAUUGUUGAUUCAAAAGUAAUUGUUCACACCGAUCAUGCUGUUAUUAAAUAUCUUAUGGAAAACAAAGAUGCUAAACUUAGACUUAUUCGAUGGGUUCUCUUGUUACAAGAAUUUGAUAGACAUAUCAUUGAUAGAAAAGGAGCUGAGAACCCCGUAGCUGAUAACUUAUCUAGGCUUGAAAAUGUGCCUGAUGACCCACUACCUAUUGAUGGUAUGCUGACUAUGCUAAUUACAUUGUUUCUAAAUAUUUACCACCUAGCUUUACAUACCAACAAAAGAAAAAAAAUUCUUCUAUGAUUUAAGAGAUUACUUUUGGGAUGGCCCACAUCUUUAUAAAGAAGGAGUUGAUGGUAUUAUCAGACGUUGUGUACCUGAGCAUGAGCAGGGACAAAUCCUAUGGAAAUGUCAUUCCGAAGCUUAUGGAGGACAUCAUGCCGGAGAUAGAACUGCUCACAAGGUAUUGCAAUCUAGAUUUUAUUGGCCUACUCUCUUCAAGGAUGCCCGUAAGUUUGUCUUAUCUUGUGACGAAUGUCAAAGAAUAGGUAAUAUCGAUAAGCGUCAAGAAAUGCCUAUGAACUAUUCACUUGCCGUUGAACCAUUUGAUGUUUGGGGAUUUGAUUAUAUGGUACCUUUUCCUUCCUCUAAUGGGUAUACACAUAUUUUGGUUGUUGUUGAUUAUGUUACUAAAUGGGUAGAAGCUAUUGCAACCAGUAGUGCUGAUCACAACACCUCUAUUAAAAUGCUGAAGGAAGUCAUUUUCCCAAGGUUUGGAGUCCCUAGAUAUUUAAUGACUGAUAGUGGUUCACACUUUAUUCAUGGUGCUUUCCGUAAAAUGCUUGCCAAGUAUGAUGUUAACCAUAGAAUUGCAUCACCUUAUCAUCCCCAGUCCAUUGGUCAAGUUGAACUUAGCAAUAGAGAAAUAAAAUUAAUUUUGCAAAAGACUGUCAAUAGGUCCAGGAACAAUUGGUCUAAGAAAUUAGAUGAUGCACUGUGGGCUUAUAGAAUAGCAUAUAAAAAUCCUAUGUGUAUGUCUCCUUAUAAAAUGGUUUAUGGAAAAGCUUGUUAUUUGCCUCUUGAGUUAGAACAUAAAGCAUAUUGGGCCAUAAAAGAACUCAAUUAUGAUUUCAAACUUGCUGGUGAAAAGAGGUUAUUUGAUAUUAGCUCAUUAGAUGAAUGGAGAACCCAAGCUUAUGAAAAUGCAAAAUUAUUCAAAGAAAAAGUUAAAAGAUGGCAUGACAAAAGAAUCCAAAAGCAUGAGUUUAAAGUCAGAGAAUAUGUUCUUUUGUACAACUCUUGUUUCAGAUUCUUUGCAGAAAAACUCCUCUCAAAAUGGGAAGGCCCCUAUGUUAUCGAGGAGGUUUAUUGGUCUGGAGCCAUCAAAAGAAAUAAUGCCGAAGGUACUAACCCGAAGGUUGUGAAUGGGCAAUGAAUAAAAAAUUAUAUCUCAGGUACGCUCAUUAAUGUUGAAAGUAAUAUUAUCCAAACUUUGGCACCGGAAGAACACAUAAAAGAGUCCUUCUGGAACACUCCAGAAUCGUGAAAAUAAGGAGGUACGUGAUACGGUAAGUAAACGGACUCCAAAAAUCCACAAAAAUAUUUUUUGUUAGUUUUGGAAUAUUUAGAAAAAUAGGAAAAUAAGAAACUUCCAGGAAGCAUGCCCUGGUGGGCACAAGACACCAGGGCGCCUGGCGCGCCCAGGUGGGUUGUGCCCACCUGACACACCUUUCGGGCUCCAUUUUUCUACAGUUUGCUUGUCCCGCAAAAUAAAAAAAAUCUAUAUAUACUCCCUGAACCUGUUAACCACAAUAUCGCAGAGAAAUCCUUUGUUCUCUUUUCUUGCUGUUUUCUGUCAGAUCCCAUCUACCAUGGCCACCUCAAGCUCCUCCAAGGACAAGUUCUUCAAGAGCGUCAUCAACCAUAUCUGCGGGAGGUGGUGCAGCACCCUCAGGUCAUCCAGAUGCAUGAGGGAUUGCUCCACAUCCGUGAUGUGCAAGGUCCCAAAGGGACAGGAACUGUGGAGGCUAGGCUCAAAGCUAUGGAGCAGGAUGUCUUCCGGUGCAAGGGGAUGGUUGAGUGUGGACUCAACGCCAAUCACCUCAUGAUCACAGACCUCUCCCGUGAUCUCAAGGUGGAUGGCAAGCCCAUGAAGGACAUCGUCUUCACCCUCAACAAGCAAAUCAACUUCCUCCAAAGCCAGAUCUAUGAUCUCCAAAACCAAGUCUUUGAAUAUGAGGCGAGGUUUAAAGGUAUGAGUUUGGCUGCUAGUUGCAGGACCCGUGAGACUCACUCCUCCUCUUAUGAUGGUGGACCACUGCCAUGGAAAUCCGAGGACAAGAUCUCUUCUUCAUCACCACCACCUUCUUCUUCAUCACCAAAGGAAAACUGAGUAUCGGGUAUGGGCACUCCCCUUGGCUUUCGCCAAGCUUGGGGGAGGUGCCCCGGUAUCGUAUCAUCCCACUAUCCUUUUGCCUUUACUUAUUUUAGUUCGGUAUUUUGCUUUAGAUGAAUAAAAGUUUAGUUAUAUCCUUUCUUCUUUGAGAGUUUGCUUAGUGAUCUAUCCUUGUAAUCGUGUGCAAGAUAUAUAAUAAAGUUUAGUUUGAGUCUUUGCUUUCUUUACUUUCAUGUUGCAAAUAAAAGAAAAUAAAUAAGAAAGAGAUAGAGAAAGGAAAUAAAUAAAAGAGAAAGGAAAUAAAUCAAAAAGAUCAUAUACUAAUCUUAUGGUAGGUGAUGACACCACAUAAGGAAAAGUAUAAGUAGAAAAUUUUAUUAGAGAUUGACAAAUAUAGCAUUAGUCAAUGAUGCAACUCAUGAAGAAUUAAUAAGGGAAGAGAAGAUUCACAUACAAAUAUACUAUCCUAAAAAUCUUUUGUUAUUGUGAGUCCUCAUCAAAAUAUUAUAUGCCAAAAUUGUUGAUGUUGGACAAGGAAGACAACUUAAUGGUUUAUGCUUGUUUAUAUUCACAUAAAAGUCAUAUUGUCAUGGAUCCUUUAACAUGUGGUGCUUGCCCCUAUCUUUGCUAGUAAAAAAUUCCGCACUAAGUAGAGAUACUACUUGUGCAUCCAAAAACCCUUAAACCCAAAUCUUAUUUUCAAGUGUCCACCAUACCUACCUAGGGAUUGAGCAAGAUCCCUCAAGUAAGUUGUCAUCGGUGCAAAAAGGCAAUAAAAAUUGCUUCUAAAAGUGUGAGAUCAUUUAGUGUAAGAGAAAAUUGAGCGUUGCACGAACUUGUGAUGGUGAAGAAUAAAAGCGACGAACUGCAUAAUAAAGGUCGCUAUCACAAGUGGCAAUGCAACAUGACGUUCUUUUGCACUAAGGGGUUGAGCAUACAAAGAAAUAAGCGCAUGACAACCUCUGCUUGCCUCUCUGAAGGGCCUAUCUUUUACUUUUAUGCAAAGAGUCAAAGUUUUCCUUCUAUUCCUUUUUAUUUUUCUCCUUUGGCAAGCAUCAUGUGGUGAGGAAAGAUCUUGGCACAUAUGUCUAGUUGAAUAUAGAUAGCAUGAGUUAUUAUUGUUGACAUCACCGUUGAGGUGAAUACGUUGGGAGGCGAAACUAUAAGCCCCUAUCUUUCUAAGUGUCCGGUUGAAACGUUUUGCUCAUGUGUACGCGGUGAGUGUUAGCAAUUGUCGCGGUAUAUCCACGACCACCUAUGGGACCAGGAGGCCCCUUGCUGGUUCGGCAGGGGGACAUCGCGUUGCACAAAGAGCAGACCAGUGCACGACAUCACAGCAGAGAGCACACAAGCAAUUUACCCAGGUUCGGGCCGCCGCGAGGCGUAAAACCCUACUCCCGCUUUGGUGGAUUGAUGGUGGAAUGUGGAUGGUGUAACGCAGUACACUUGCCCGACAGGGAUCGCCAUAGGGCAGCAGCGACUAUGCGCAUAUGGGAGUGUGGGUUCGUCAACUUUCCAACCCUUCCUACGAGUGCCAUGGGCCUCCUUUUAUAGAUCAAGGGGUCACCACAAUGGCAAAGUAGUCAUUAUCCACCGAUAUGAUAGCAAACAGCGCUAUCAUACCUAACUCUGCGGGCUGACAGGGUGCAUUAAAUGCACCGCUUAGUGUCACAUCACUGGUUGCCCAUCAAGGCUUGCCGGACAAUCUCGCCAGCUCCGUGCCUAUUCUCUUGACAUGUCACAGGACGGGUGUCAUCUGUGGGUUUCUUCUGUAGGAAAUAGCCGCCAUGUGGUGAAUGGCUGCCACUUAAUCACCUUGCGGCUUGACUCCGCACUGAUCGACGACGUGGGUCGUGCUUGAGUGGUUGGUGGGGCGGUUCUAGCCCCGCGAGCCCCGGCAAGCCCUGCCGGGGUGUCUUGGUUGUCUGCUUCUGGUGGCGGCCUUGCCCCUUGCCGGGCUCGCCUGCCCGGCAAGGGAGGCCCUUCUCUUGCUGAUAUAUUGCUCCUCUGGCUUGAUCUUGGUCCCUCUGAGCUGCAUGUUGGUUCUUCAAAUCUCUUGGUCCUUCAAUCUCUUACUUGGGUUGGUGCUUCAAUCUUGUUCUUGUGCCUGUGCACAGUAUAGGCAAUGGACCCAGGGUUUGUUGCACCGACAGAAGCCCCCGGGCCUGCCCCGAACACGCCGCGGAGCGUCGUCGGGGUAGGACCUAAUAAGUGCACAGGCAGGGUGGCUGAAGGGGUUGGCCCCUUGAGGUUUCCAUUGCUGCUUCAUUAUCCUUGAUUUCGGGCCAGUUUCUGGUUUCCCCGCUCAUCAUGCGCGACGUUGUGGAAGAGCUCAGACCGUGGCCCGUAGAUUCUCCUCGCCCCGUGGUCACGGGGCGAAAACUGCCAUCCCACCCGCCAACCCGCCUCCUGUCCUGCAUGCACCUGCCAGGUGUUCUGCAUGCAUCGGGCGUGGUAGGUAGUGGAUGCGGAGGACACGAGGAAGGGUGCCAUGGCUAAAAACCGAGCGUCGAUGGUUGGAGCAGAGGGCCGGCCUUGACCCUCAGAGUCACAGCGGGUGCAGAGAGGUCGCAUUGGAGGAGAGGGGCGACCAUUUCCCAUAGGAGAAGCCAGCCCCUUGCCCCCUUUCCCUAUAAAAGGGGUUGGGGCAGUGUUCUCCUGCACACUCUUCUCUUCCUUCUCUGUGAUCCUCCUCUUCUAGUCAUGGUGCGAGGGCGAGGGCGCGGUGGUGCUUCGGUGGCGGCAACGAGGGCUUCUUCUCGAUAGCGCGCCCCUCCCCCUCCGGAUGCUAAGGCAGCGGAAUCGUCCGCAAGGAGAGGAGGAAGGGGACAUGGUCGUGGUUGCCACGGUGCUCGAGGAGGAGGAGGGUGGGGCGAUGCCUUGGUGGCGCCCCCGCCGGCAGCUCCUCCCCCGAUGGAACGCCAUGUCGGUGACCAACCCCGGGAGUUCAUCAUCAGGCUGUACAAGCCCGUGUAUGGCCGUCUUAGCCUCCCAACUCCCUUUGCGCGGGAGAUGGAGCUCGAGCGACCACAUGCUCUGUGGCUACACAUGAGGGGCUGCGGGAAUGGAGGUAUGAGAUUUGACGUCGAUUUCCCCGCCCCUCAUGUGAUGUAUCCCCGUCACGGCUAGAAGACCUUCGCCCGUGCCCAUGGCUUCUCGGAAGGGCACGUUCUCUAGUUCAAAUUAAUGGAGAAUGGGCCCGCUCUCUGUCAAGAUCUUCGGGCACUCGGGAGGUCGCUUAGGGUGCUGCGCGGAGAGCUCGACUGACGACGAAAGCUCCCCCUCGAGCGAAAGCGACGAGGAGGACAGUGACGACGAUGAAGACGGUAGCGGGCGGGGGAGCGACGACUCUGACUCCGGCUGAUCGUCGCCCGCUCCAUCUUCAUUAGGCGGCAACACCAUCAUCUGCAUCUGCGUCUCCUCCUCAGCAGUGCGAUUUGCCGGGGAGUUGGAUGCAGAGGUGCAGAUGGUGCUGCCAGGCUCCUCCAGCAGUCUUCCAGCUGGACCCUGGCAGGCUUCCUCUCGGGCUGCAGCUCCGUUAGCCCUGCCGAGUCCUGCUGGCCCCGGUGAUGGUGGUUGACGGGGCCGCCUUCCGCCGUGCUCUCCAUCGAGGCGUUCCCUCGCGCUUCCGUUCUCUCCAGGCUACCUCUCCUGGCGCCCGAUGAGAGCGGGCUGGGCCUCCUCCCAAGCGCUCCUUUUGCCCUCCUCGCCUUCGAUGGCUGUGCCUAGGAGGAGAGGGACAAGAAAGGGCAUUACGGAGCACUUAUCUUUUUUCAAUCUUAAAUCUGUAGGCAAUCGCCAAAUUUUAAUUCAAAAAAUGUAAUCUCUCGAGUCCAUCUUUGUGUUCUGUAAUGCUUACUUGUAUUAGCAUAUGAAUGAAAAAGAUGAACCUUGCAGGGAACUCGUGCAUGUGUAUGUCCAUGCAGAGGUGGGAAUGCCUCUUUAAUGUAAAUAAACGAGUUUUCCCUGGUAGGAUAUCCUGCCGGCACCCUCUUUGUCUGCCGGAGAACUGCGUCUGCUGGGGAACAGAUAGAGGGGCCAGCCCCCCGCUAGCUCCUUUUUACCAAAGGCUACUGCGACCAUCCUGAUCGAAGCAACGUCGAGCCAUGGAUGGGAGCACCUAAGUUUCAAAAGAGAGGUGAGGUUUUCUCAUGCAAAGUUAUAGCUUUACAGAACACUAAUGGGCAAGAGGUAAAACUUAUCUGUUUGGCUUGCCCGGGAUCGCUGUGCCGUGCAACCUUCUUGUUCUUUGUCGAAGCCAAGUUCACGGCAGGAACCUGCAACUCCAUGUAGAUGAGAAUGAAUGCAGGAUGCAAUCCUAUCUAUAUGCAUAUGCAAAUGCUCAUGAAAUGCUCAGUGACCUUGGUGUGCUCAUGCAUGCAUGCAAUCUUAGUUGGGCCCCCUACAACGCUUCUUUAUUUUCUCUUGCACGGGGUCAUCACCCUGGCUUUGUACAAGGGGUUACAUGCAGCUAAGGCAAGGCCUGUACAAAAGGGUGGCUACCGGGCACUGCCUGGCAGCCUCACACCUUACGGGUAGUACUUGCGGAGAUGCUCAAUAUUCCAUGAGUUUUGCAACUGAGUGCCAUCUCCGGUCUCCAGACGGAUUGCGCCGGGUCUGGUGACUCGUACCACCCGGUAAGGGCCUUCCCACUUUGGUGAUAGCUUGUUUGUACCCUUGGCAGACUGAACGCGCCUAAGAACAAGGUCACCUUCCUAAAAACACCGGGCAUGAACCCCGCGGCUGUGAUAGCGGCGCAGGGCUUGUUCGCGUUAUGGGAACGGGGGUCCCCAGACUUACCUGCCUGCAGCCCGCGGGGUGGCUCCACUCGCGGCCCAGUACGGCCCAUCUUCACCAACAAACACUCAAGACCCUCGCGAGGGGCCAAGCCUCGUGAGGCGGACGACACAAGACUCCUCAGGAGCGGCCUCACCAGGCUGGCUCGCGAGGGGCGGAGAGAUCAAGGCAAGGCGAACCUCGCGAGGUUCCUACGACGUCAGCCAUGACGAUCAAGGCCAGGCGGGCGCCAGCACGUCCUUGUUUCCUCUUUGGUGCUAAGGAGGCAAGCGCGGGCGAUGAGUACCGAGGCAUCAGGCAAAGGUUUCCAUAUCGGUGCAACGAGACCAAGACCAGUAGGACGGCAGGACGGAGCUCAUCGUGGAGCCCAAGACGGCGUCACCACCAGAGCCUUUGGCAGGCGAAGACCACCUUUAGUCAGGAUAGCUUGUACUAGAUGUCCCCUUUCAAAUCGGCCGUUGUGGCAUCCCUUCCUGCUCAAUAUUUGGGAAGAGGACCAGGGCCUCUAUAAAUAGGACUAGCCACCACCGUAGGAGGCAACUGAUUCAGAUCAUCCUCACCCACACAAGUUUACCAGGCACAAGAACACCUCUCCUCAGGAGGCUGUUCUUCCCCUUGUACUGUUCAUCCUCAGCCCGAGGGGCAAUCCACCACACCACACUGGAGUAGGGUAUUACACCACAACGGUGGCCCGAACCAGUAUAAAUCUUGUGUCUCUUGUGUUGCGAGUUCGUCGAGCUAGGCCUUGAGAUAGCGGUGAGGCCGAGGGCGUGAUUUGGUAGGGGGAAAUCUUCGUGCGCACCCCAGUGUUCAAACCUCAAGGGUUUUACCGGAACCCGAAAUCCGACAUUUGGCGCGCCAGGUAGGGGUGCGCCAGAGCUUUCCUUCCAUCGAUCCGCGCUUCGCCACCACCGCGCUUCGCCCCCAUGGCAGGCGCCGCGCUUCUUGCUCCGACGACUGAUGCCAGUGGCGGGGCCAGGGGGCUCCGAGCCUUGGCCCCCGCCUUGCGACAGGUGCAGUGGCCGCCCAAGUUCAAGCCGGAGAUGCCACCGCUCUACGAGGGCGUGGCGGACCUGGUGGCUUUUCUGCUGGCGUACGAAGAGGCCAUCCUUAAAGCCGGGGCGACGACAAGGCCAUGGCCAACUGGCUUCCCAUGGCCCUCACUAGCGUGCCGCGCGCCUGGCUGCUCAACCUCCCCGGAUCCACGGUGGCAUCCUGGGAGGAAUUGCGCGGCCUCUUCGCUGCGCACUUCGCGGCACCGGUGCCCCAUGCGGUCGCGGCCCUCCUCGGCGGCUCGCAGGCGCCGCCCUCGGACCGUCACGCAAAGCCAUUCUUCUGCCAGAUCAGCGCUGCUUCUGUGCGACAUGGGGCUCCCCAUGGUUGGGUGGCACCCAAGGCCGACCUGACCUUCAAUUCGGAAGAUCACCCCGUCACCACUGUCGGCUCGGGCGUGCUCCCAAUGCUUUGCACGCCCACCAUCUGCCACGUAGCCGUCACCAAGACCCUCAUCGACGGCGGCGCCGGCCUCAACGUGCUCUCGGUGGAGGCCUUCAGCCUCCUUCACGUACCACUCGAGCGGCUCCGCCCUAGCAAGCCGUUCUCCGGCGUCAGAGGUGGCUCCUCCAGCCCCCUGGGGCAGAUCCGUCUUCCCGUGACCUUCGGCACCCGCGACAACUGCCGCACCAAGCUGAUCGACUUCGACGUCGCCCACAUCGGCCUCCCAUACAACGCUAUCCUUGGGUACCCGGCUCUAGCUCAGUUCAUGGCGGCGACCCAUCCGGCCUACAAGAUCAUGAAGAUGCCUGGGAGCAAGGAUGUCCUCGCCAUAGUGGGGGAUACAAAGGAGGCUCUGGCGGCACUCAAGCUCGCCCUCAAGACCGUUGCGGCAGCGCAACCGGCCGAUGCGGGCACCUCCGGAGCUAAGGCAGCCGCACCAAGCAAGAAGAAGCAGUUGUUCACCCAAGACCGGGCAGAAACCAAGCUGGUGCCGGUCGAGGAAGACGGGUCCUCGGGAGCCACUUUCACCAUAGGCGCCAACCUAGACGCCGACCAAGAGGAGGCACUGGUGAAGUUCUUGCGCGCAAACAAGGAAGUAUUCGCCUGGGAGCCCGAUCAACUGGUAGGGGUGCCAAGAGGAGUGAUUGAGCAUCACUUAAAAGUGUGCCCCAAUGUACGCCCUGUGAAGCAGAGGGCGCAGCGGCAGUCCACGGAGAAGCAGUCCUUCAUCAUCCAAGAAACUCGCAAGCUGGAGGCAGCAGGCGUCAUGCGCGAGGUCCGGUACCCCGAAUGGUUGGCAAACCUCGUCGUUGUGCCCAAGAAAGGCGGAAAGGAGCGCAUGUGUGUCGACUUCACCAACCUCAACAAGGCCUGCCCCCAAGAUCCGUUCCCGCUUCCACGCAUCGACCAGAUCGUCGACUCCACCGUCGAGUGUGACCUGCUGUGUUUCCUAGAUGCGUUCUCAGGCUACCACCAGAUCAAGAUGGCGGUAGAAGACGUCGAGAAAACAGCCUUCCUAACCCCGUGCGGGGUAUACUGCUACACUUGCAUGCCGUUCGGGCUGCACAACACGGGCGCGACCUUUCAACGGCUGAUGCACAUCGCCCUGGGUCGACAGCUCCGGAGGAAUGCUGAAGCCUACAUCGACGACAUUGUGGUGAAGUCUCGGGAGGCGAGAACUUUAAUUCAAGACCUGGAGGAGACCUUCGAAAGCCUGCGUCAGGUAGACUUGCGGCUUAACCCAGAGAAAUGCGUGUUUGGCACCCCUUUCGACAAACUGCUGGGUUUCCUCGUGUCCCACAGAGGGAUCGAGGCAAACCCAGAGAAGGUCAAGGCAAUUGAAGACAUGAGUCCACCGCAAACCCUCAAGGAGAUGCAGAAGCUCGCUGGUCGCGUGACUGUGUUGGGGCGUUUCAUCUCCAAGCUUGGAGAGCGCGCCCUGCCAUUCUUCAAGCUGAUGAAGAAGAAAGGCCCAUUCGAGUGGACCCCGGAGGCUGACCAAGCGUUUCAAGACCUCAAGAGAUACCUAACCAGCCCUCCGGUAAUGGUGGCGCCCCGAACUCUCGAGCCUUUGGUGCUGUACCUUGCCGCCACCCCUUACUCCGCCAGCGCAGCGCUGGUGGCUGUUCGGGAGGAGCGCCGAGUCAGGGAUGCGUCGCGCCAAGCCGCUUCCUCAACCGGAGCGGCGCAAGACCCAGAGGGCUCCGCAAAGGCUGCGACAACGCCAGCAAAGGACCAGGCUCAACAAGACUGCGCGCCUGGGCUUGCGGAAGCCCCAACGAGCGACCAGGCUUUGGGGGCUUCGUCGUCUCAGGAGGCGCCCCAACCUCCGGAAGCUGCAAGCCUCGUCAAUGCACCCCUCUCGUCGAGCACCCUGUGUAUUUUGUCAGCACGGUGUUGCGGGACGUGAGGGCACAGUAUCCCAUGCCUCAGAAGCUCCUGCUCACGCUCUUGGUGGCCUCACGCAAGCUGCGGCACUACUUUCAAGGCCACCCCAUCAAGGUCGUCUCAACCUACCCGUUGGAGAGGGUGCUCAGGAGCCCCAACUCCGCCGGGAGAGUCGCUGAGUGGAACAUCUACAAGCAUUCCAGUUGGAGUUCAGCACGACCAGGGUCAUCAAGGGAACCGCGCUCGCUGAUUUCGUGGCAGAAUGGACAGACGCCCCGGGGCUUGAGGAAGGCGAGGAUAGGUAUCUCUCGCCGGGGAGUGAUGUGCCAGACGGGUGGGUUAUGUAUUUUGAUGGCGCCUUUGCGCGCCAGGGCACGGGGGCUGGAGCAGUGCUCAUCUCACCCACUUAGGACAAGCUUUACUACGCCGUGCAGCUCUGCUUCCAGCAGGGCGAGAAGGUCUCCAACAACAUAGGAGAGUACGAAGGCCUCAUAGCUGGCCUCAAGGCUGCGGUGGCCCUGGGGGUGAAGCACCUCACCAUCAAGGGCGACUCGCAGCUCCUCGUCAACUUCUCCAACAAGGUGUAUGAGCCGAAGGACGAGCACAUGGAGGCGUACCUCGCGGAGGUGCGCAAGAUGGAGAAGCAGGUCUUGGGCCUAGAAUUGCAGCAUGUGCCCCGUGGCACAAACAAGGAAGCCGACGACAUCGCCAGGAGAGCGUCCAAGCGGCUACCCCAAGAGCCUGGCAUCUUCGAGGAGCGGCUCUUCAAGCCAUCGACAACACCACCGCUUUCAAGAACAGCGCUGCCUCGGGAGGAACUCCCUCAACCACUUGCCUCGGGAGCCCCGGCCUGUGGCCCGACCUCAGGAGCGCGCUUGCUCUUGGCACUUGAGACUCAGGGGGGGUGCUGGACCAAGGAAUUCAAGGAAUACCUGAUGCAAGGGAUGCUGCCAGAGAAGGAGAAGGACGCGGAGCGUGUGGCCUGACAAGCCACGACAUACUGCAUCCAGGACGGUGAGUUGUACAGGAAGCAGCCGAAUGACGUUUCCUUGCGUUGCAUCUCCAUGGAGCAGGGGAAAGAGCUGCUGGCCGACAUACACGGCAGGGACUGCGGGCACCACUCGUCGUCACGGACCCUCGUCGGCAAGGUGUUUCGCAGCAGAUUCUAUUGGCCUACGGCACUCAACGACGCGACUGAGCUGGUGAAAUCCUGCGAGGCCUGCCAGUUCCAUGCCAAGCAGAUCCAUCAGCCGGCUCAGGGCCUCCAGACCAUCCCACUCUUGUGGCCAUUCGCGGUCUGGGGGCUGGAUAUCUUGGGCCCUUUCCCUCGAGCGCCUGGGGGCUACCGCUACCUCUACGUCGCCAUCGACAAGUUCACUAAGUGGGCGGAGGUAGAAGCAGUCCGCACCAUCCCGGCCGGCUCCACGGUCAAGUUCAUCAAAGGUCUCGUGAGCCGGUUUGGGGUCCCCAACUGCAUCAUCACCGACAACGGCUCGCAGUUCACUAGCAAUCUCUUCAAGACGUAUUGUGCUAACCUUGGAACACAGAUCUGCAAUGGCCAGGCCGAACGCGCCAACGCAGAGGUCCUGAGAGGCCUCAAAACCAGGACCUUCAAGAAGAUGCUCGAGGCCUGCGGCAGGGGCUGGUACGACGAGCUCCAGUCUGUGCUGUGGUCCAUCCGCACCACCGCCACCAAGCCGACGGGCGAGACCUCAUUCUUCCUCGUCUACGGAGCAGAGGCGAUUCUCCUUCACGAGGUCAAGCAUCGCUCUGCGCGGGUCCUACCGUUUGAUGAGACGCAGCAGGACGCCAUGCGGGGGAUAGACCUCGUGCUGGGGGAGGAACACCGCCGUGAAGCCACGCUACGGGCGGCAAGAUAUCAGCAGGCGCUGCGACGGUACCACUAUCGCAGCGUCCGCUCCAGGACGCUCGAGGUGGGUGACCUCGUCCUACGGCGGGUGCUCUCUAGGGAAGGGCUGCAUAAGCUCUCAACCAUGUGGGAGGGCCUAUUUAGGGUCGCCCACGUCUCCAGCACCUCCGGAAGUUCUACCCAUGAAGAAAGGCCCAGCGCCUGUGAAGAAGGCCCCGUGCCUGUGAAGGUCUCCGCUCGUGACACUCUCACGUAAUAAUGAGUGGGGCUGUACACGCCCCGGAGUCUCAGGAGUGCCGCCCUCAGGCCUCUGGGGCUCCCUCCCACGUCCUAGUGGCAGCACUUAGCUCCGCGCUGGUGAGAAGACAAGAAGACUAGACUAGGUGCCGGACGCGGCUUUUCAUUUGCUUUCCGUAGUUGGCUUGCCCCUCUAAUCGAAAUUUGCUUUCUGGUGUUGCUCGCUGAUCUUGUUUCAUCGACUUCUGCUUCUGUUUCUGCCUUCGGUUCUUUGUCUGAUCUGUACCCUCUCUCGCGUCCCUCGCGAGGGGGCUGGACGGGUGCUCUCGUGCCCUCGUGAGCGUCCCGUCUGUUUUUUCGCGAGGCACCCUCGUUUGGUCCGCAAGCUAGCGCACCUCUCUCAAUCCAUGCCCCUCGGGUACCGCGAUACGAGGCGAAGGGUCAUGGCCAGAGGCGCCUACGACCAGGGCUUGGAUCUCCUAACAAAUUUUUUCAGUUCCUCCUCGCCAGGUACUGAGAAACGCACGCCACGCGAGGCAGAAGCUACUUCAAGCGCGUCAAGCUAAGCUCUUCCUACGUGCCUAUAUAAAACAUUGAUAUUGCGACGUGGCAUGGGAAUGAUAAACACAACUUAACAACUUGGAAAUCAUAGUUUGUUGCACGCCCCCACGGGGCCCCAUACUUGUCUCUCUCAAUGCAGGAAGGAAAAGAAGAACGAAACAAAAGUAGCGCGUGCCCCCGCAGCAGCUCGCGAGGACGGGCCCAUGGCGCUCCCCCGAGCUCAUCGGACCCUUCCUCGCGCUUCACUGGGGUGCGGCGGCGAGACGACCCGCUGCCACCUUCAAAGUGAGCGCGGCAGCUGGUCGUAGCCACCGCUGCUGGAGCUGUCGCCGGAGGGAGAAUCACCGUAGCUGGGCACGAUAUCUUCCUCGCCCUCAUCCCGACCAUCGCCAAGGCCAAGCACUUCGUCACAGUCGUUGUCCUCGGUGCAGCACCCGGCGCGGCGGCCGUCUUCUCCGAACACCCUCACGUAGAGGGUCGCAUUGCCGUCGUACUUGAAGUGGAGGGUGCACCGCCUGCCAAGGCCACGCGCGCGGGCAAACGUCUGCCAGCCACGAGCCAGAGCCACGUUCGGAGGUCUCGACCGCGACCCACGAAGCUUUGCUGCAACAGUCGUCCGCCUGCAGCCAGAGCCCGCCUGGAUCUGUGGCCGGCAGUUCACCAGCGAAGAAGCACGGGAGCUGAAGCCAGGAGCCGGCAGGGUUCUCCGACCACACCACGAACUCCGGCAGCACCUCCGCCGAGUGGAAGCACGGCCCGGGAGGCCGUGCGACCAUGGCGCGCCUCCCUUCAUCAACGGGGCUGUUUCGGCAUAGGCGGCUCCCACCACGCGAAGGGGCACCGCCGCGGCCGCGGGGGGCCGCGGCAAGGGUCGUGGAGUGCUUGCGAGGGUGGCCGCAUCCACGCUUGGGCGGCGGAGAGCCGGGCCCCUCCUGGCGAGACUUCCCUUUCUCCGCGGCCGAAAACCUCUUCGCAGGCGCCAUGGGAGUCGCUACUGGCAAUGGGGCAAGGAGGAGAAGCGAGCGGAAUGGGAAGAGAUGGGCGACGGCGGCUCUGCCCCCCUCCUCAUUUAUAGCAGGAGAAGGCCAACCAGCGCCCCCCACGAUCACAGGUAAUGAUGAUAUUUCUCUGCAUGCACCAGGGACUCGUCAAGUCGGGCAGUUGCCGAGGCAGCAUGGGGAAGCGGAGACGCCCACGUCCAAUCGAUCGCCACAAGUCACCCAAGGCCACAGGCUGUUGGGGCCCGCGACGCUCCGCACUUGCCCUUUGGCUUCGCCUCAAAGCCAAGUCCGAGCGUGCCUUGGGCCCAGGGGCUACUGUCGGCGUUCUGGGAACAGGGGUCCCCAGACUUGCCUGCCUGCGGCCCGCGGCGUGGCUCCACUCGCGGCCCAGUACGGCCCGUCUUCACCAACAAACACUCAAGACCCUCGCGAGGGGCCAAGCCUCGCGAGGCGGACAACACAAGACCUCCUCGGGAGUGGCCUCACCAGGCUGGCUCAUGAGGGGUGGGGAGAUCAAGGCAAGGCGAACCUCGCGAGGUUCCUACGACGUCAGCCAUGACGAUCAAGGCCAGGCGGGCGCCAGCGCGCAUAGUGUCCUCGUUUCCUCUUUGGUGCUAAGGAGGCAAGCGCAGGCGAUGAGUACCGAGGCAUCCGGCAAAGGUUUCCAUAUCGGUGCAACGAGACCAAGACCAGUAGGACAACAGGACGGAGGUCACCGUGGAGCCCAAGACGGCGUCACCACCAGAGCCUUUGGCAGGCGAAGACCACCUUUAGUCAGGAUAGCUUGUACUAGCUGUCCCCUUUCAAAUCGGCCAUUGUGGCAUCCCUUCCCGCUCAAUAUUUGGGAACAGGACCAGGGCCUCUAUAAAUAGGACUAGCCACCACUGUAGGAGGCAACUGAUUCAGAUCAUCCUCACCCACACAAGUUUACCAGGCACAAGAACACCUCUCCUCAGGAGGAUGUUCUUCCCCUAGUACUGUUCAUCCUCAGCCCGAGGGGCAAUCCACCACACCACAACGGUGGCCCGAACCAGUAUAAAUCUUGUGUCUCUUGUGUUGCGAGUUCGUCGAGCUAGGCCUUGAGAUCGCGGUGAGUCUGAGGGCCUGAUUUGGUAGGGGGAAAUCCUCGUGCGCACCCCAAUGUUCAAACCUCAAGGGUUUUGCCGGAACCCGAAAUCCGACAUGGCUUGCUGGUAGCGUGCAGCACGCGUAGUAGCCCGGAGACGGUUCUCCUCGAGUAGCACAAUGUCGUCACGCCGGUGCUGAUCUUGCACUACUUCAUCGUAGGCAAGCACUCGAGGGGAUCCGUAAAUGAGUUCCAUGGGGAUAACUGCUUCUGCCCCGUAGACCAGGGAGAAGGGAGUCUGCCCGAUAGCUCAGUUAGGUGUCGUUCUGAGGGACCAGAGAACUACCGAUAGCUGCUCGAUCCACCGCCUGCCGUGCUUCUGCAGCGUAUCGAAAGUUCUCGUCUUGAGUCCACGUAGCACUUUGGUGUUUGCCCUCUCAACUUGUCCAUUGCUCCGGGGGUGUGCUACAGAGGCGAAUGAGAUCUUGCAUCCGAGGGUACGAACAUAUUGCAUGAAGGCAUGGCUCGUGAAUUGGGUGCUAUUGUCGGUGAUGAUCCUUACUGGAACUCCAAAACGACACACCAAUUCUUUCAAGAACUUGAUAGCUGACUGAGCAGUCACCUUUCUCACGGCAGUCACUUCCGACCACUUUGUAAACUUGUCGAUGGCGACGAACAAGAAUUCAAAGCCCCCGAUUGCUCGGGGGAAGGGGCCGAGGAUAUCGAGCCCCCAGACCAAAAAUGGCCAUGACAAAGGGAUUGUCUGAAGGGCUUGGGCAGGCAUGUGUGUUUUCUUGGAAUGGAACUGGCAGGCCUCACAUGUCGUGGCGAGCUCGACCGCAUCUUGGAGGGCCGUGGGCCAAUAGAAUCCUUGUCGGAAUGCUUCCCCACUAAUGCCCUUGAUCCAAUGUGUGAGCCGCACAUUCCUCUAUGAAUCUCAGCCAGCAGUUCCUUUCCAUCUUCCCGACAGACACACUUCAAUUUCACACCGUUGGGCCUCCUUCUGUACAGAGUGUCAUCAACAAACUGAUACAUACAGGCCCUCCGGGCUACUUUCUCAGCUUCAUCUUGGUCGCGGGGAAGUUCUCCGGUUUGGAGGAAGCGGACAAUGUGCCUUGCCCAAGUUCGAGCCCGGGGCUUGGCAACGAGGACUCGCGGCACCUCCUCUGCUGCCGGUGCACCAGCCUUGUUCGUGAGGUCCAUUGUCCCGGCUAGAGGGGGUGGUCUGGCAGGCUGUGAGGAGUUGUUUUCGGCAGGGUCUCUGCCAGGAGCUGACGGCUCGAUCGGGAGAGGCCUACCGUAGUCCAACUUUCUCCUUUUCUGGGCCAUUGUGGCUGAUACGGAGGGUUGAUAGAGAUGGAGAACAAAAGUCCCUGGUUCCACAGGAAGCUUCUGCGUAGCACAAUUUGACAGGUGAUCAGCUAUGCUGUUUUCCGCACGGGGUACGUGCUCUGUUUGCAACCCAUCGAAGUGCUCCUCCAAUCUCCUCACUCCCUCGACGUAUGCUUCCAUCAAUGGGCUUUGAUAAUCCUUGUUGACUUGUCUCACCACAAGCUGCGAAUCUCCUCGUAUGAUCAACUUCUUGAUUCCCAAUUCUGCGGCAAUUCUGAGCCCGGCAAGGAGCCCUUCAUACUCAGCUGUAUUGUUGGUGGCUUCUUCCCAGGCAAAGUGCAUUUGGACGACGUACUUCAAGUGCUCCCCGGAGGGGGCAACAAGAAGCACGCCAGCCCCUGCACCUUGUAGGGAAAAAGCACCAUCAAAAUACAUAAUCCAUUCUUGGGGCGAUUCUUUGCCGGGGAUAGCUGUCUCUGUCACUUCCUCAUCAGGGUUUGGCGUCCAUUCUACAAUAAACUCUGCCAGCGCCCUGCUCUGAAUGGUUGAUGUGCUCUCAAACUUCAAACCAAAGCUGGAUAACUCCAAAGCCCACUCCACUUUUCUGCCGGUAGCCUCAGGGUUUCAGAGUAUUCUUUGCAACGGGAAACGAGUAACAACCGUGAUCUCAUGGGCUUGGAAGUAGUGGUGCAGUUUCCUUGAGGCCAUAAUGAGACCAAAGAUCAACUUUUGCACGCCAGUGUACCUCGAUCUAGCCCCCCGUAACAAGGAGUUGACGAAGUACACUGGGCGCUGCACCACUUUCUUCUUUGCCGCGUCCUUGGGGUUGCCCUCGUUGCAGUGCUCACUGCUGUUCUGAUCCUUUUCUGAGUCUGCUGUUAUCUAUCCACUUUCUACCUCAUCUACUUCUCGCUGUGCUACCAAGGCCGCACUGACCACUUGGUUGGUUGCCGCCAAGUAUAGCAACAACGGUCUUGGGGUUUGGGUGCAACCAAGGUAGGCACAAACGACAGGUAGGUCUUCAACUCCUGUAGUGCUGCAUCUGCUUCUGGGGUCCAUUUUAUAGGCCCUGCCUUCUUCAAAAUUUUGAAGAACGGCAGGGCACGCACGACAGACUUGGAAAUAAAUCUACUUAGCGCGGUAACGCAUCCCGUCAAGCGCCUCACAUCCUUAACUAUCCUUGGUGCUUGGAUUUGCUCGAUGGCUUUGAUCUUGUCGGGGUUAGCUUCGAUCCUCCGAUGGGACAUGAAGAAACCAAGCAGCUUGCCGGAGGGGACUCCAAACACACACUUCUCUGGAUUAGGCUUCAAGUUGAUCUUGCGCAGAUUAGUAAAUGUCUCCUCCAAAUCUUGGAUAAGAGUGGUCUUAUCCUUGGUUUUGACCACGACAUCAUCCAUAUAAGCUCCUAUGUUUCUGUGUAACUGUGGCUCAAAACCAAUCUGAACUGCCCUUGCAAAAGUGGACCCGACACUCGUUAGUCCGAAUGGCAUGCAGACAAAGCAGUAUGUACCACAUGGGGUGAUGAACGAUGUCUUCUCUUCAUCUUAUUCAGACAUGAAUAUCUGGUGAUAUCUGGAAUACGCAUCCACGAAGGAGAGCAAAUCACACCCUGAGGUGGAAUCCACAAUCUAGUCGAUGCGCGACAAGGGAAAUGGGUCCUUCGGGCAAGCCUUGUUGAGAUCUGUGAAAUCAAUGCAAAGCCUCCAUUUCCUGUUAGCCUUCCGGACUACCACUGGAUUUGCUAACCAUGUUGGAUGCAGUACUCCUCUGACCAAACCAGCUGCCUCCAAUUUCUUGAUUUCCUCGACAAUGAACUGCUGCCUCUCCAAGGCUUGCUUCCGGACUUUCCGCUUGACAGGUCGGGCGUGUGGGCAGACAACAAGGUGGUGCUCGAUUACCUCCCUGGGAACACCGGGGAUAUCAGAUGGUUGCCAGGCAAACACAUUGAUAUUCGCCCACAGGAAGGCAAUGAUCGCGCUUUCCUAUUUGUCACCAAGGGCGGCGUUGAUGGUGAAAGUACCGUCCACGCCAGCCAGCCCUGCCGGGACCUUCUUCACUUGGGGUGUAGCAACCUUGGAUCUCUUGCUGUUGGAACACUCCGGCGCGUCGUCAACGGGUGCCGUGCACUCGGAGGGGGCAUGCUUCCCGGACUCCUUGCCGGAGGUCUUAUAAUACCUUUUCUUUCCUUUGCUUUCCUUGGCGGGAGCUGUUGUUGCCGCAGCCUCUGCUGCGACUGCAUCCCGGUACAUCUUGUCCACGCAGAUAAUUGCAUCCUUCUCAUCCGAUGGGACAGUGAUGACUCCCAGUGGCCCAUGCAUUUUCAGAGUGUUAUAAGCAUAGUGGGAUGCUGCCAUGAACCUGGCCAGGGCCGGGCGUCCAAGAAUCCCAUUGUACGGCAGGGGGAGAUCAACCACAUCAAACACAACCUUCUCUGUCCGGUAGUUCAGUUCUCCCCCAAACGUCACCGGCAACGUAAUCUUCCCUUUAGGAUGGCUCCUGCUGGGGUUAACUCCUUGAAUCGUGCCAGUGACCUCUAGCUCUUCUUCUCCUAUCUGAAGCUUGCUGAUGACUGCUGGGGAAAUCAGAUUCAACCCGGCCCCGCCAUCCACUAACAUCUUUGUGACCUUGAGGUUGCGAAUUGUCGGGGAGACCAACAACGGCAAGCAUCCUACCGCGGUGGUGCGGCCAGGGUGAUCCUCCUCAUCAAAGAUGAUUGGCGUGCGGGACCAUUUGAGUGGUUUCCGGGCCUCUGGCGCUGGCUCCAUAGCAUUGAUCUCUCGUGCCCAUCGCUUGAGCUGGCGAUGGGAGGCGUGCAAAGAUGCACCCCCAUCCACGCAUAGGGCGUCAGUGGCCUUCUGAAAUUCCUGCUCACUGGUUUCCUCUUCAUUCCCUUCAUCACUCCCUUCAUCACAUACUUCCUUCUCUUGACUCCUGGCGGGUUUUCCUUGGUUCCGAAAGGGCAUGCCGAGGCGAUUUGCUUCACCUCCUCGGCCCUUUCCGCUAGUGGCAUUCUGACCUUUUUCCUUGUCACGCUUAUCAUAUUCCGCUCUCUGUUUCUUGACAAGCCGCUCAACUUGGUAACAUGACUGAAGAUCAUGGCCCUUGGUCCGGUGGAUCUUGCAGUAUGGGCCAUCGCCUUUCCUAGCCUUCUCAGCGGCAACGGCUUCCCGGCAAGCCGUGCAAGCGGCAACUUCCUUGCCGGGGGCCUCAGCUUUGGCCUUCUUGCCGGUACUAGGUGUGCCCGAACCUUCUACAGUCAUCACUGCUUUAUCUCUUGGCUUCUUACUGCGCUUCUUGCCCUUUCUCUGACUGGUUGACUCAUCUUCAUCCUCUAAAUCAACAUUGAUGCAAUCCUCCUCUCCAGGCAACUUCCUUCCUUCCACUAUCCGAGCACACUUAUCCGCCAGUGUGUAUAGCUCCUUCACAUUCUUGGGCAACCAUAUGUUCAUCUUAGAACGAAUGCGACGGUUGUGCACAUUGGACUGGAAGGCUGCUAUAACGGCUGCCAGAUGGAUAUUUGGAAUAUUCCUAUGAACUUUACUGAAUCUCUAUAAAUACUUAUGAAGAGUUUCUCCUUCCUUCUGCUGGAGAAGUUUCAGGUCGCUGGGCCUGCCGGGCUCUUGGUGGCCACCGGUGAAGGCACCGAUGAACUCGUGGCAUAGGUCCGCCCAAGACGAGAUGGAGUUCUCCGGCAGGUGCAUCAGCCAAGACCUCACGUUGGACUUGAGGGCCAACGAGAAGUAGUUGGCGAACACCUUCUCAUCUCUUCCCCCGGCGGCUUGAACAGCGAUGGUGUAGAUGCUGAGGAACUCUGCCGGGUUCAGCCUCUCGUCAUACUUCUCGGGUAUCUCUGGCUUGAACGUGUGAACGGACGGCCAACGGACUUGCUGCAGCUCUCAUGUAAAGGCAGGGAAGCCGACCUCGAGAGGUAAGCACCCGCCAACACCGAGCGCAGGCUCAUCAACAUUGAGGCCGCCGCACCCGUCGGUAUGGCGGAGGUCGUCGCGGCGCCGAUCUAUGACGUCGUGCGCAUCUCCCCGCCGCCUAUCCUCCGGGGCUCGACGUUGGCCUGGAGGUGCUCGAGGGUCAGAAGAGGCCAUCGAGACGUCGUCGGGGUCUUGAUUCAGCUACGCCCGCGUCGACUGCCAUGGUGGGGACUGCACCGUGGGGACGGCACCCUUCGUUCAGCCAGCAGUACGGGCGGUUGCUUUCGCUUUAGGAGGUUGUGGUGGGCCAGCUCAUCGUGAGCCCCCAGCUUCGGCGAAACCGAGCAGGCUCUAUAUGGUGGCACGCCAUUCAUCCAUCUGCUCGGCCGUGGGUGGAAACCUCAGUAGCAACUAGGCUCGCACCAUAGCCUCUGUGGCUGUGCUUGGCAUAGAUGUCGAUGACGUCGACUGCACCGUCGCCUAGCUUCGGAUGGCGCCAGCGGUGGCGACGGCGGUGGUGCCGCGUUCACGCAGCUGUGGAAUGACCACCUGGGCAGUGGGGUCGCGCGGCGGUGCUGCUCGAGGGUCAGUGACUCCGUCGAGCGCAGCGGCCUGGUCGACUCGUACGGGAGGAGGCACAUGGGCCGCGGUCGCUCCCGCGAUGGGGGCGGCCGGAGGGCGAUGGCUCGCCCCGGACCGAGCGCCGUUGCUGCGGCUGUGCCCGUCAGUGGGAGGAGGGGGUGCAGACGAAGUGACCCCCUCGCCCGCACCUUGUGGAGCGUGACCGCCCGAGGCGUUGCUGAUGUUGUUCUCCUCCGACAUCUCCAGCCCUCGUGUCGGCCGCAGGGGGAGUAGUGAUGGCACCACCUGCUCCAACCACGCCCGCAGCAGCGUUCACGUCCUCGCUCGCCCCCGCAUCCUCCGAAGCACCAGAGGCCGCGGGUGGCGGAGCCUUCGCGGUGGACGGGUGGGCCGAAGGGCCGAACUUCUUCUUCUUAGGCGCCAUGGUCGAUGGCGUCGUCGAAGACGAAGAUGGUGAUGAAGAUGAUGCGCUGCGCACGCUUUCAGUUUCGCGCAAGCGAGCCCCCUACCUGGUGCACCAAAGAUGUCGCGGUAUAUCCACGGCCACCUAUGGGACCAGGAGGCCCCUUGUUGGUUCGGCUUGGGGAUAUCGCGUUGCACAAAGAGCAGACCAGCGCACGGCAGCACGACAGAGAGAACACACGCAAUUUACCCAGGUUCGAGCCGUCGCGAGGCGUAAAACCCUACUCCUGCUUUGGUCGAUUGAUGGUGGAAUGUGGAUGGUGCAACGCAGUACACUUGCCCGGCAGGGAUCGCCGUAGGGUAGCAGCGACUACGUGUGCAUGGGGGUGUGGGUUCGUCAACUUUCCAACCCUUCCUACGAUACGAGUGCCAUGGGCCUCCUUUUAUAGAUCAAGGGGUCACCACAAUGGCAAAGUAGUCAUUAUCCACUGAUAUGACAGCAAACAAUGCUAUCAUACCUAACUCUGCGGGCUGACAGGGUGCAUUAAAUGCAACACUUAGUGUCACAUCACUGGUUGCCCGGCAAGGCAUGCCGGGCUAUCUCACCAGCUACGCGCCUGUUCUCUUGACACGCUGCAGGACGGGUGUCAUCUGUGUGUUUCUUCUGUACGAAAUGGUGGCCAUGUGCCGAAUGGCUGCCACUUAAUCACCUUGCGGCCUGACACCGCACUGAUCGAGGACGUGGGUCGUGCUUGAGUGGUUGGUGGGGUGGUUCUGCCCCCGCGAGCCCCGGUAGGCCGUGCCGGGGUGUCUUGGUUGCCUGCUUCUGGUGGCGGCCUUGCCCCUUGCCGGGCUCUCCUGCCCGGCAAGGGAGGCCCUUCUCUUGCCGAUAUAUUGCUCCUCUGGCUUGAUCUUGGUCCCUCUGAGCUGCAUGUUGGUUCUUCAAUCUCUGACUUGGGUUGGUGCUUCAAUCUUGUUCUUGUGCAUGUGCAUAGUCUGGGCAAUGGACCCAGGGUCUAUUGCACCGACAACAAUCAUAGAAGAAUAUAUGAUGGUUGAGUAUGUGGACUUGCCUAAAGGCUCCAAUACGUGACCCUUCCUAAAAAGAUGAUAAACUGUAGUUGCAAAGUUGACUGAGAACAUAGUUUGUUGGUUUUUAACAGAGUUUUUGCUUUGUAAGUCAAUAGUGUGAUGAAUUGUCACUUAUUCAUGAGAAGUCUAUGAUAAGAGCUUUAUGAUAAGAGUCUUAUGUUUAACUUUGUUGCUGUUAUAAUAAUCUACAUGAUGCUUCUAUGUCCGUAUUUUGUUUUUAUCGACACCUCUCUCUCUAAGCAUGUGGACAUGUUUUUCGAUUUCGGUUUUCACUUGAGGACAAGCGAGGUCUAAGCUUGGGGGAGUUGAUACGUCCAUUUUGCAUCAUGUUUUCUUACUGUUAUUAUAAUGUUUUCAUCCAUAAUAAUGCUUUUUGGAGUAAUUCUAAUGCCUUUUCUCUCAUAAUAUGCAAGGUAUACACAAAGAGGGAGAAUUCCGGCAGCUGGAAAUCUGGACCUGGAAAAGCUACGUCAGACCACCUAUUCUGCACAACUCCAAACAAGCUGAAACUUCACGGUGAUUUUUUAUGGAUUAUUUGAAGAAUAUUGGAGCAAAUAACUACCAGAGGGGGCCCACCUGGGCGCGCCAGGGAGCCCAGUGCGCCCUGGUGGGUUGUGCUCACCCAGGCCCACCUCCGGUGCCCAUCUUCUGGUAUAUAGGUCAUUUUGACCUAGAAAAAAAAUAAGGGGUGGACUUUCGGGAUGGAGUGCCACCGUCUCGAGGCGGAACCUGGGCAGGAGCACUUUUGCCCUCCGGCGGAGCGAUUCCUCCGGGGGAACUUCCCUCCCGGAGGGGGAAAUCAUCGUCCUCAUCAUCACCAACAACUCUGCCAUCUUGGGGAGGGCAAUCUUUGUCAAGAUCUUCAACAACACCAUCUCAUCUCAAACCCUAGUUCAUCUCUUGUGUUCAAUCUUGUUACCAGAACUAUAGAUUGGUGCUUGUGGGUGACUAGUAGUUUUGAUUACAUCUUGUAGUUGAUUACUAUAUGGUUUAUUUGGUGGAAGAUUAUAUGUUCAAAUCCAUUAUGCUAUUUAAUACCCCUCUGAUUUUGAUCUUUAUUAUCAUUUGUGAGUAGUUACUUUUGUUCUUGAGGUCACGGGAGAAAUCAUGUUGCAAGUAAUCAUGUGAACUUGAUAUGUGUUCGAUAUUUUGAUAGUAUGGAUGUUGUGAUUCCCUUAGUGGUGUCAUGUGAACGUCGACUACAUGACACUUCACCAUAUUUGGGCCUAAGGGAAUGCAUUGUGGAGUAGAAAUUAGAUGAUGGGUUGCGAGAGUGACAGAAGCUUAAACCCCAGUUUAUGCGCUAUUCCGUAAGGGACCGAUUGGAUCCAAAAGUUUAAUGCUAUGGGUAGAAUUUAUUCUUAAUACUUUUCUCGUAGUUGCAGAUGCUUGCGGGAGGGUUAAUCAUAAGUAGGAGGUUUGUUCAAGUAAGAACAACACCUAUGCACCAGUCCACCCACAUAUCAAAUUAUCAAAGUACCGAACACGAAUUAAACCAACAUGAUGAAAGUGACUAGAUGAAAUUCCCGUGUACCCUCAAGAACGCUUUGCUUAUCAUAAGAGACCGUUUUGGCCUGUCCUUUGCCUCAAAAUGAUUGGGCUACCUUGCUGCACUUUUGUUCCUACCAUCAUUACUUGCUCGUUACAAAUUACCUUGCUAUCAAACUACUCUACUACUUACAAUUUCAGCACUUGUAGACAUUACCCUGCUGAAAACCACUUGUCAUUUCCUUCUGCUCCUUGUUGGGUUCGACACUCUUACUUAUCGGAAAGAUCUACAAUUGAUCCCCUAUACUUGUGGGUCAUAAGCUAUGCAUCAGAACAUGAGCAAUCAAUUACAGUAGCAAAAUUUAAUGCAAGCAUGGGAGAGAAUGUAAUAGGCAAUAUAGGAAUGAUCAAGGGGGUUUGCUUGUCGAGAAGCUCUACUGAAAAGGAAUGGUCGUCAGGGGUGUAGUCGUCCUCAGGAUCAGCUUCAGUCUCGGUGUCUACCGGAGAGAAGAGGGGGAAGAAACAAUAAAUAUAAAUCAAACAGAUGCAUAACGAUGCAUGAAUGGCAAUAUGAAGUGCUAGGGGUGACCUAACGCAGUGCUACAUGAUACAGACGAAGUGGGAAAACAUCUGGGAAUGUUUUCCCAGCGUUUGGCAUUUUUCGGAUAGCUGAAGGGGAAGGAUCCUUGUUCAUCAUGCUAGAGGCAUGUGAGAGAUGAGUGGAUUGCAUAUUCAGAUUCUUCACAUUUUUCUAAGCAACUUUCAUAUAUAAAUUAUUUUCAUCUGACUUAUAGAUUAUUUUAUAUGAUUUUUCAAAGUUUUAAACAUUUUAUGGAAUUAUUAUUAUUUAAAUUAAUCCAAUAAUUAGAUUAUUGCGUCAGCAUGAUGCCAGCAGUCAACCCAAUCAGUUGACUAGUCAAACUGACAAGUGGGUCCACACUAUUAGUGACUUAUAUAAAUUAACAGGUUUCAUUUAACUAAUUUAGUUAAUUAACUAGCAGGGCCCACAUGUCAGUGACUAACAAAUAUAACUAAUUAAAUUAAUUACUUUAAUUAGUUAAAUAGGGGGCCCACUAGUCAGUGACUGGGGCUGCCCAGCCAGCACCCGUUGACUGGUCAACCUAGUCAACAAGGUCAGCCGAGCCACUAGGGCCCACCAGUCAGCGACUGUGGGGUGGCCCCAGCCGCGCCACGUUGGCGCGGCGCCGGAGAGAGCUCCGGCGAGCCUCUCCCGCGACAGAGCGGCUCGGGAGCUCGCCGAGAUUCACCUACGAUCCACCAUUUGAUGCACGGUUGGGGUCGCCCGAACAAGCUGGGGGAGCCGCGUCGGAUGGUGGGGGUGGCGUCGCCGGAGGAGGUCGGCAGCGACGGUGGUGAGCGGCGGCGCCGUUCGGGCUUCGUUCGAGAACUCGAUGGGGCGGCCUAGGAGGGUCAGUGCGGGCUCAGGGCGGUGGUACGAGUGCUAUGGAGCACAUAAGCAGCUGGCGCAGGCGCUCGGGAGCACGCACGGCGUGCAGAUGUUAGAGUAGCGAACGGUGGUAGUGGUGGAUCAAUCUAUUUCACUCUCUGAAGUAGUAGCAAUACAGAUCGAUUACACGAAUUGGGGAAUUUCGGUGACGAGGGAAGAUGAACUAAGAAUAGAGGAACUAGGGUUGCCGCCGCCUGGUAAUCGCCUGAUCCAUUGGAUGCCGGUCUUCUCCCAGUCGCUGGUUACUUUUAGUGGCGAGGUGGGCCUUAUCGCGUCCACUAUGGCCCGCUGGUGCGUGGGCUGCGAUGCCUGGCCCGAGUGGGCCGCUGGGCAGCGCGGUUGCUGGUGGAGUCGCUACCUCGCCACUACUGCAGGAUGCUGCUAACACCACAGUACGAUCAGGGACCCUUUGACGAAACUGUGUGCGAUGCAUUAAUCGCAAACGGUGAUGUAAAAAACCCGUCAAAAAGAUGCAAAACGUUUGCGAUGAAUGAUACAUCAAACACGGUUCAUAUUUUAGUUGUGUGUGCGAUGCGGGGCAUACGGUUGAUCCAUACGAACUGUUUGCGAUGAGACAGAACAAUAAAAACAGACAGCCAGAUCAAGGUGUGUGCGAUAUACGGCAUACAAUUCGCUCCGAUGAACCAUUUGCGAUGAUCGAGGUGAACACAAACGAUUCGGCGUAACAAGAUGUGUGUGAUACCCGGCAAAUAGGUCGGUAAUCAAAAUUGUGUGCGAUCAUUAUAGACAGCCCAUAUGGUCUUUUUUUGUGAAUUGUGUGCUCGUCAGGGAACACAGUUCAACAAACCAACUUGUGGGCGAUAAUGUAGAAGAUCUUUGUCGAAUACUAUGGAACCAUCAAAGAUAUUUGGGAGCUUAACUAUGUGAAAGUUAAGGUGGCAUUAUUCAGGUGUGCAUGGAUCCCUCUUGGACAUGUAAAGGUUGAUGAUUACAGGGAGACAUGUGUUAACAAGACAACGAUGGCAUAUCACGCGGACCUGUUCAUUCUUGCCAGUGAUGCUACCCAGAUUUUCGAUGCGGAAGACACCAUUGCAUAAGAACUGCCAUGUAGUGAUGCAUGGGAAGAGGAGGGUACUGGGUGUCGAGGAUGUUGCCGAUGAUGAUGAGUAUGAUGAAUUUGCUGAGUUGCCAGCCAAGGGAUCAUGCACCCAUCUUACAUAGAAGCGUAAAAUCAUCAGAAAACCCAAGUUCAUUCUGGGUCAACGUAAUGAUCCCAUUUCCCCAUGUACAUGGGAAUUAAGCCGUAAGACUAGUCUUUCCCUGCAACUUAAUUUGUUCAAUUUAGAACUGUCGUGUGUACUGAAUUUGUGAGUUAUGCCCGGUUUUCUGUUGAUGUAAGAACCGUUAAUAUGUUGACCUUGAUAUGCCGUCAGCUCAGGCAAUGAAUAUGAACUGUUUAUAAUAAUAAUAAUGAUUAUUAUUGUUAUUAUUAUUAUUAUUAUUAUUAUUAUUAUAUCAUAGAGGUAGCACACUUAAUUGAUCUCACUCCAGUAUGUGUGAACAAAAGAUAUGCAAUCUGGUUUGCGAAUAGCACAUGGUUCGUUCAUGAAAGCCGUGCCCCGACCAAACCCCGCGCGCGAUCUAAGUCGUGCUUUCUGAUUGGCUAGAACCCAAACCCCACAAAUCGUACGUCUGCACCGUUGGAUGCUCCGAGAUCGAACGACAAUCCUCAUCCCUUUCGACAACAAAUGCAGUUUCGGUUGUAAUUUUAUUUUUAUGCAGAAAAUGCAUGUUAAACUAAAAAAAUGUCUUAAAUAUAGCUAACGAUACCUGAAAUGCGCCAGAAAAUCAAACCUGUGGUAUAAUGGUGAUUGCGUACCGUGGAAAUUUUUAUGAGGCCAAACGAUGAAGUCACCGACCACUGGAGUUUGAAUUGACACGUCUCCUUUUAUAAACCAUGAUCCUUCAUGUGAGAUGCUCCGGUUUGGAAGGAGCGAUCAUCAAAACUUGUGCCAAACUUUACUAAUUUUUUUCCACGGGGUCGUGAGAGCACGCCACGGGCACACAUUGAUUUUGAUGAUGUCCGGACUCCAUCUGAAUUUCAUGUAAUUAAAAUACCAACUAGGCCUACGCUAGUGGCCGCACCUCGCGGCCGAAAUGUUUGAAACUUCUCCCUGCUUCUCGGACAAACGGAUGAAAACUCGCAAAGCGACGCACAAAUGAUCUGUACACCUUCUUUGCUAAGGCUGGCCAUAGUGGGGGUAUCAUAGCAGGUAUCAUGCACUCGGGAAUAGCAAAUAUGAUGAUGUGGCAAGGAAUUAAAGAAGGGAGAGUGGGUUAGAGUAACAUAGGUAGAUACCGUAACAUAAUAAAUGCUAUACUACUUUGUGUAAUGCAUGGCCAUCAAUACGGUCAUCUAUGAUACUAUGCAUUAUGAAGGUACUUAGUAUCAUACACUAGUAUCAUAUGCAUGAUACUAGUAUAUGAUACUCCCUACUAUAAGGCUGGCCAUAGUGGUGGUAUCAUAGCCAGUAUCAUGCACUGAAAAUAGCAAGUAUGUUGAUGUGGCAAAGAAUUAAAGAAGAUAGAGAGGGUUAGAGUAACAUAUAGGUAGAUACUGUAUCAUGUUAAAUGCGAUGCUAAUUUGUGUCAUGCAUGACAAUAAAUAUGAUCAUCUAUGAUACUACUCUAUUGUACUAUGCACUAUAAUUAAAGGUAGUAUCAUACACUAGUAUCAUAUGCAUGAUACUAGUAUAUGAUACUCUCCACUAUGAGUAGCCUAAGUAUAGCCUAACUAAAACACCCACAUGUAGUUGUAGUAGGGUUUUAACUUUAUAUGCACUAAAUGCAAGGUAAGUGCAAAAAACUGACUUAAACAUAGCAGACGGGAAUUGAAAUGGGCCAGAAAAUCAAACCAAGGGUAUAUCCGUGAUUGUUUACCAUGAUUUUUUUUCGAGGAGGAACGAUGUAGUCACUGACGAUUUGGAGUCAGAAGUGCCGCGUCUCCUUUUGAAAACUAUGAUCCUUCUUGUGAGAUGCUCUGAUAUGGAAGCUGCGAGCACCAAAACUUGUUCCAAACUUUACCCAUUUUUUUCCAUGCGAUCGUGACAUCACGCCACAGUGACAUAAUGAUUUUUGUUAUUUCUGAAUUCUAUAUGCAUUUCCUGUAAUUAAAAUACCAACAAGGCCUACGCCUCUAGCCGCACCCCGCGGCCGAACUGUUUGAAUUUUUUUUUCCAUUUCUUGAACAAUGAAUGAAAACUCGCAAAGUAACACACAAAUGAUGUUGCUAACACCACGGGUUGGGGAGUUCUGGAGGACCUCGCGCGCCCUAUAAUGGGCCGACCGUGAAAAAAAAGGCCCUUCCUUCCCGACCUUAUCUACACGCCCGCUUAGCGCCACCCCCGCCUCCCUCCCAGGCAGCAGCCGCCGCUGCUACCACCUCCCUCCCCGGCAGCAAGCGCCGCCGCCCCACCUCCCUCCGGUGGCACAAGCGCCGCCGCCCCCACCUCCCUCCGGUGGCGGACACGCCGCCGCCCCCACCUCCCUUCACGGCAGACGCGCCGCCGUCCCCACCUUCCUCCCUGGCAGAGGCGGCGACGCCCCCACCUCCCUCCACGGCGGACGCGCCGUCGCGACUCCACCUCCACCUGCCGGCUUCCCUUCGCCGCCCUGUCGGCCUCCUCCCGCGGCCCCGCUCAAUGCAGCCCCGUCGGCUUCAGUCGUGCGAGCCAACGAGGCCACCUCCGUCGCGACAGUGACGCCGCCCUGCGCUCCCCACCGGCUUGCCCUCGCCGCCUGCCCCGUGCCCCCCCACUGGAGCACCCCGUCGCCGUCCAUCGUGGCACCUGGCCACCACUUGCAGAUGAAGGAGGCCUCGGCCUGCAGCUACAGGAAGUCUUGACCUGCAUCUGCAGAUGGAUGGCACAUCCGGGAGAGAGGAGAUAGACAGCAGGAGGUUACUCUUCUAGCAGUAUUCAAUAGGUCGAAGCGCUGAUGCCCGUCUGCGCUCCUUCUUCAACCUGGCGCUAUCGAAUACAUGGUGCGCUGCCACCAGCUUGAUUCCUCUUCAGCUUUCUCUACCAUGGAUGUGUGUGUGUGUUGGAUGAAUUGCAGCUGCCUCUCCGCCGCCGAAGUGCCCAAACAGUUCACGUCCGCCACCUUGAGCCGUUCAACGACACACCGCCAGGACGGUCACCACUGCAGCGCCGAGAUCUCCACGAACUUCGCUCCUUGAACAUUUCUGUUGCCUGUAUUUCUUUCACAUAAGCUCCUUCUCAAGAACUUACAGUUAUCUUUAUACUAGUUUCUUGCAUGAUCAGAUUGAGCUAUUUCCCUUGUACAGUACAAUUGUUUCACUGGAAAUCACCACAUUUCUUUUGGUCAAUUUAUAGUUGGAAGCUGAUGGUUCAAUUGUUUGUUGGGUAAGCAGUCCACUAAAAACAAGUUAAAAAUGUUUAUUCUGUGAAAGUGAAUGAAAAAGAUGCACACGGUUUCAGUCUGAAAAAGUACGACAGUUCAUUCACCAUAUUGUGUUAGCUCUAAACCAGGGAGUAAAUCACACAAAUGUAGCUCCUUUACUUUGCAGGUACGAACUUGAUCGGCUUACCUUACUCUAUUGUUGUUUGUUUCUGAACAAGUAACUCACCCAGUCUGCUUACUUUUGACACUGAACAACUUCUUUUGAUAAUUCUUGGACAUGAUUGUCAUACAUAUAAACAUUUGGUGUCUUCUAUGAUAUUCUGCUUGAGAAACAUGAUUUUUGGGGAAGUUUGCUAGUAGUAGAGCAUCACAUCAUUUAUAUUUGUUUGAAAUGCUAUGAUACCCGUUGUGGCUGCAAAAAUACGCAUGGAUGACUGACAGGAGUUCCUAUAGAGCUGUAGUAUUAUUCUUCAGAGUUCAGAUAAUUGUAUUUUGGGCCGCUGAAACCUGAUGGCUCGAGUUUGUAAAAGGAUAUUCAGAAGUUCAAAUUAGACUUACACAAAAGUUCAAAAAAAGAGUGUUAUGUGCGGAUGCUGCUAGGUCUUGUGUCUCGUAUAUGUGUGCGUGAUCACUGUGUGGGUGCUUCGUGUGUGUGUCGUGCUCUUUAUGUCACUGUUCUUCUUCAUAAAAGGUUAACUGUUCACUAUAUAUUUUGCAAAACCACAAUUUUCUACAUUAGUUAGUAUGGUUGCAGUCCAAUGUGUUGAUUUUUAGUAGGCCAAAUUGUGUUCAUUGAUCAAAAUUGUAGAAAUGGCAGGCGCUCAGCUGCAACCCAUUGUGCUACGAUCUUGUACGGCAAGGUGAGAACAAAAGUCACACACCAACAGCUAGCUUGAAUGCACCAAUACCCGACAGCAGCACCACUCGUCUCCUACUUGGUGCACGGCUUGAACAACAACAACAGGGCACGCUACAUUUCUGUGAUUAUAAAGUGUUGUUGUUUAUUGCUGCUGAAGGGUGGGGUGAGCAAGGGGAGAAGAUUAGCUGCCAUUGCUAUUGUUUCUUCUUCUUUGUCUCCGAAAUUAUGUGAAUCAUGUUACAGGAAAUAGAAGAAAAACUUUAGAAAGAAAAUGAUGCUUAUUGAGCUACUGUAGAUGGGUGGCAUUUGGAUACUCCUACAUUUGCUAUCUCACCAGCAGGCUAAAACUAAUGCAAGUGAUGAGUAAAAAGACAUCACUUUGUGUGCCUGUGCAUGUGUUUGUUGUCCCUUGCUGGCCACGGGUACCGGAGCAUGGGGCUUCCUCUGCAUUGUUGCUGAUCCUGAAUAUAUGACAUGCAAGUUUAUUUCUUUUUUGAAAACAAGUUGCCUCCGCCUUGCAGGCCUUUUUCCUCUGAACUACUGCCUUUCCGCUCACAUGUUUUUCCAUGCUAACCAUGUGAACCUAGAGCUUCCGUUAUGAGCUCACCAGAAAACAAAAAGAAAACUGGUAAUAGAGAGAAUACUUGUCCCGGUUUUGAUAGGAUAAAGACAUGUGGUGGUGAUAGGAUACAAAAAAAAAAACACAUGCAUAUUACUAUUAAAAAACAAGCAUGUGGUGAAAAUUCUUGUUUGCUUGUGUUCAAAUUUUGUAAUUGCUAUGG